rnacentral:lncRNA from 1 species
ACGAAGCGUCUCUGGUGGGGAGUACGAAUGAGUCGCUGCAGAUGCGCGGCGGUUGACGAGAGUACCGGCAAAGCAGAUGCGGCGCCGUGGACAAGGCCGGCACUGAAUGGGCUGUGGUACAGUGGUGGAUGAGCAGUCUACUUGUUUCUAGGGGAGGUGGGAGGGGUAGAUGCGGCCGCAGAAGCAGAUCCGGCGAGGUGGACGCCGCUGGCAGUGAAUGGGCUAUGGUACACCGGUGGAUGAGCAGUCUAGGGUUUCGAGAGGGGAGGGGAGAAAGGGCGAUGAAGUACGGACGGCGUGAUGUAAGAUGCUCUGGUGCCGUGGAGUUAGUCGUUUUUGUGGGAGGGGGAGAGGAAAUGGGGGUGCCGUGUAGUGGGGCAACCGGAAGUUACCAAAGCAGCCCCGACCUAUCAUGUAGAUGAGGGCGGUAUUGUAACUAUUGGUCUCCGUGCACCAAGGACAAAAGGGGGAUUUUGCAUGCUAAAGACUAAGGUGGCGGAAAUUUUAGAAGGAGGCGGGAGAUUUUGCCGCCUGCGGGAUCGUUCGUAUCCAGUUUCAACUAAUUUUGGACCAUGCUAGCGGGAAGGUCAUGCUAGACUGUGUACACGGGGCACGCGUCAGCAGUUAAUAACUGGUGUGAAGUCCACCCCAGAAAAAAGACAAUAACUCGGGAUGAUGAGCCGAUAACUUGGACGUUCACACGGGCGCGGCCAAUCGUACGGGUGUAGUGGCGCGUUCACAAAAAAGGGAUCAAACGCUCAGCCUAUGUAUUUCUCGUGUAAAUAGAUAAUUUAGUGCCAUUGGUUAUUUACUUUAAACAUAAUGCAUUGACGUGUUAGUGUAGAGGCGCACAAAAAGAAAUGGAUAUUGUAGUCAGCUACUUAAAAGUGUUACCUCAUAUGAUUACAUAGCCUCCAUUUCAUAAAUUGCGUACCCGUUGAAUUCAUAUAUGAAUAUUACAUAUAUUACUUCAAAAUAGAAACUUAAAUCAUCCAAGACUAAUGAAUUUGAAUGCAAGAGUAACAAUGGUGCAUAUACAUGAUAGCUACAUUGGUUGUUUGAAGAAACAUCACUGUAACUUUGGCAUGCACAACUGAAAAGGUUUAUUUAAAUAGAAAAAAAAUGUGAUAUGUGAGUGUCCAAUCUUUAUAGCGUUGAAUCGAUAUUGUACCUUUGGCCACGAUACGAAGUAGAUAUUGACUUAUGUUCAAGCGAUGCACGUCCACGAUCGCUAGAUAGUGAUACAUGAAUGAAUUGUGCAAUCUCUCUCACACGCAUACAUAUCUCAUUUCCCUGUGGGCAUUGGAAUCACACACGCGCACUUCUUGUAUUUCUCUCCCUUUGUCAGGGUUAAAUUCGUCUUUCUACCCCGUCCUACAAGUCUCUCACACAGAAACACACACGCUCUCUAUGUCUAACACGCCCACCCCUUUAAUUCCGCCCACCCACAACCACUAAUGUCUCAAAGUAUAAUAAUGUCUCUCACACAUAUGCUAUCUACAUAUCCCUUAAUAUAGCUAGAUAUGUGUCACACAAACUCCUUCUCCCUACUAGCAAGAUGCCCAUGCGUUGCACGGAACAUCAAGAUGCAUUUGUAUGAGAAGUUUAUCUUGUGGGAGAAAAGGGUGAAUGAGGGAAUGCCUUAUUUGCAAAUGCGGAGAGGGGUGUGGGUAUCUUUUUGCAAAAUUGCCAUAGGUUCCUUCCUCUCCGUCGUAUAUAAAUCGGAUGGCCUAUAUUGCAGGAUGGCAAGAACACCAUCAUCACCAACUCUGUUUUUUAUAAGAGUAGAUAUAUGUGAGUGUCACUGCCCCCCCCCACACACACCCACACUUCCAAACACCGAAGGAGUAGGGUGACACCUCGAUCUUGAUACUAACCUAUCGACUGGCUUCUCUCUCAAACAUACACACACACACACACUACCCGACACCGAAGGAGUAGGGUGGCACAUCGAUCUUGAUAAUAAUCUAUCUACUCCUCUUUCAAACACACACACACACUCGCUAGUUGUGCCUACCGCGCACACUCUCGUACGUCUUUCUCUUCCUCCCCCCAACAAUGACAACAGAAGGGUGACAACUAGAUCUGAUCAUAAUCUGUCAAUUGGUUUCUCUCUCAAACAUUGUGUCUCGGUGCCUCGCUCGGUAGCCCCCUCGAUAUGUAGACUUCUUGCGCGCGCACAACUGUAGUGACGAUGACGCUGAACCCAGUGUGCCUUGUUUUUACCGGCCUCAUGUGAUAGUUUUCACCCUGUUUUCAGUUAAUUAACAAGGCAACCUUUUCUUUGUUACUACUAGUGAAUCUGAAAUCAUUCGGGGCAGACAUAAAAUAUAUCACUUCAACCCAAUUAUCGCAGCAACUAUUUUAAAAGAAAUUAGCUAGCUGUCUGUGCGUUGCACAGAACAUCAAGAUGCAUUUGUAUGAGUAGUUUAUCUUGAGAGAAAAGGUUGAACGAGGGAAGGCCUUAUUUGCGAACGUGGAGAGAUGUGUGGGUAUAUUUUUGCAAAAUUGCCAUAGUUUCUUUCCUAUCCGUUAGAUAUAAAUCCGACGGCCUAUAUUGCAGGAUGGCACGCACACCAUCAUCACCAACUCUGUUUUCUACUCCCUCCGUCCGAAAAUACUUGUCAUCAAAAUGGAUAAAAAGAGAUGUAUCUAAAACUAAAAUACGUCUAGAUACAUUUCCUUUUAUCCAUUUUGAUGACAAGUAUUUCCGGACGGAGGGAGUAUUUGUCUUUUUAAAGAUUUCAACAAGUAACUAUGACCGGACCUUACCAACAUACUCAAAAAAGUAGUCCAUAAUUUUGAUGUUACCCUCUUUUCUUGGCGGUGCAGUGCCAUCUGGAUACCUCAUAAAUAAAUCAAGGACAAAUCUGACCCUUCCUGAAAAGACAUACAGAGCAAAAUGAGUGAAUCUACACUCUAAAAUAUGUCUACAUACACAUCCGUAUGUGGUAGUCCAUUUGAAAUCUGAAAAAGACAAAUAUUUAGGAACGAAUGAAGUAUAUAUAAGAGUAGGCAUGGAGAUAUAUCUCCAGCAUGGUCUACAACAAAAAUGUGCUGGGCUGGUUAGCGCCGGAUGCUCGCAACGCGAUGACAUGAGUUCGAAUUCUGUCUUUUAACUUUAUAUUUUUAUAUUAUAUAUUACUCUACUUAUUUAAUAUAUACUUCUUUCGCUACUGUACUGACAGUGGAACCCACAGAGUACUUAGAAUACAAGAUUAAGGAUGGACUUGUUUCUUUUUAACUUUCUGUACGAAGCUGUAGCCACCCUGCAAGUCACGUGUACACUGUACAUGCAAUUAAAUUUUUAUAGAGGGACAAUCAUACGGGCAAUUAACUCAAAUGGAUUGGAUGUCACUCUAUUAUUUCCAGCAUAAAGAGCAUCUCCAACGGCAGCCGGCAAAUUUCCUCCCGCUUCCUUAAGCGGAGGACGACAUCAAACGCCAGCGGCAUACAUUUUUACAACUCUAACCAACCAGAUGAAAUUCGUGCAAACACGGACUGAUUUCAUAUAAGCAUGAAGGAUUUCGUAUAAAAAAGCCGGAUCUUCAUAUAAACAUGAUGGAUUUCAUUACAUUUACAUGAACUAAGAGGUGCCAAUCCGGCUCUCUUGUAUAAUUAAUACUCCCUCCGUCCUGAAAUACUUGUCCUAGAAAUGGAUGUAUCUAGACUUAUUUCAGUUCUAAAUGACCGUCCGCGGAUCCCUUUGUCUUCCUCAUGUCCGUCAGACACUUGCGGGGUCGACGAAGGUCCUCGGAAGAGACGAAGCAGCAAAGAAACCACCUGAAUCCGCGGUCGUCGCCUCAGCGGUGGCCUUCAUGGGUCCCAAGUGGCGGCGGCCUCCCGUGUUGUACUUCUCCUCGAUGAUGGCGGCGGACACGGAGAAGCCGGCCACCGACUCGUCGCUCUCCACGCACCCGGCUUCUGUCUCUGCCUGCAUGGCGCUGCCGCAGGCACGGGAGGCGCGCCCACAGACACGGGAGGCGCGGCCACCGCAGACACUGGUGGCGCGGUACGACGCGGCAGCGACGGCGCCCGUACCGGCGUGCUAGCCGCCGUGCCGGCGUGGAGCAACUCGCCACUCCUCAUCGAGCUGAACUGGAGCGGCGAGUUGCUGAACCACGCGCCUGCUUGGGGCGGCAACUGGCUCCGUCGGGCCAAGCGAGGUUGGUGAAGCACCGAGUGGCCUCGCCCGUAUCCGGAGGGCUAGGCGGGCCACCCAGACGGGUAAUAUGGCGGAGAACGGCUCAUCGGAGACCAUCGGAAGAGUGGAGAAAAUGGUGAAGGAGGAGAUGGGGGAGCGGCGGAGGGGUGCGAUUCUUGCCCGCUGUCUGUUUGGCCUCGUGUAAAUAGAGGGCGGACGGUAGGAGCUUGGCUGGCGUCUGGCCUCGUUUAAACUGAGGGCGGACGGGAGGAGCUCGGCCGGUGUUGCGCUUAAUUCCGGCCCGCUCAUGAACGGACGUGUGGCAGGAGUAGGAUUCUCGGUUUGCAUGCGGGUUUAACGGAGGGGUUUAAUGGAGGCGCCGGGCGUGCAGCGGGCGGCGCAGUACUAUUCGAUUUGACAGCAGUAAUGAGCCGUCAAAUCACAAAGGCCCUCGCCUCUCGUGAAACCGACCGAGCUAGACUGCCUCGCCCUAUAGCCUUUUAAAAAAUAUAUAUACUCCACUUUUGUACAGUAGUAGUAUCGAUGGAUUGCGCCAUGGAGCAAAAAUUGAAAUUAAAAAAAAGGUGGUACAUAUAGAGAGCGCUCGUCGCCAAAUUAUGCAUAUAGUACUAUUAAAAAGGCUUGUCACAAUAAUGGUGUCCAGCACAAGUGCACAACCCACCCCUUAAAUAAAACUAAGCACCCUGGAAUUCUUUGACAAAACUAAGCACCCUGAAAUUCUUUGACAACUAAAUUGCUGGCUAUAUGAUGUUGGCCAUAUAUAUUGUACGUAUAUAAUGUGAAGAAACGAGUGGUAGUACUAUACCAACUAAAAGAUGAAAUGUAAGAAAUAAUAGUAUGUACAUACUGAAGAGUUAAAGUAACAAGAAGAAACAUAACAUAGUUCUGCUGGGGGCUCAGCACAACACACCCCUCAAAUUAAAUUAAGCACACCUGAAAUUAAACUUUGCAACUAUUCCGGUAGACACUGCAUUAGAACCACCAUGAGCAAUGACACUGCCACCUUACUCGGAGUCCUCGUCCACGUCCACGUCCUCGACUUCGUCCUUGUCCCUCUUCCUCUUGGCCGAUACUUCUUUGCUUGAACCGCACACUUGGCUGUUGCUCUUCAUCCAACCCUUGUAGAUAUUGAAGCAAAGGUAGCCAUCCAUUGCAGCGUAGUGGAUGUGGUCUAUAUCUAGUACAUUCCGCUGCCAUGCAUGACGAUGAAACGUGUAUGGAGGUUUCUCCAGUUUACCGUACGAAGGAUGAACCAUGGCUCCUGCCAGGGUCAGCAUUGAAGGCUGACGAGAGGACACCAGCCGAUUCUUCUGGAGGUCGAAGGUGUUGCCUACAACGAGGCCUAUCCGACGCAGGACUUCUUUUUCAUUACCAAAGUCUACAAUAACGAAUUUGACUAGGUUGCUCUCGAGGAAGUCCUUAAAAUCCUGGCACUCAACGUCGGCAUGGCAUAUGUGGUAGACCAAGCAUAAGUCAUGCACGCAAACCUGGAUCAUGGCGGGCUUCUUCCUCUCUUCAUCCUUUAGAUCCUUCUCUCGUCCCAGGACUGUGGUGUACUCAACAUCUAGCCCAGCGACCCACUCAUCAUCUGAGUCUUCGAACAUGCGUCUGAAGCGAGAAAGGCAUCCUUUCACCAUCGCGGAAGAACGGGUGUAGAUGACGUCGAACUCAUCACCGGUGAUGGUUCUAACCUUGUACUCACCGCCGGUCGGGGAGAUUUGGGACACCAUGGAUUUGGGAGGAGGGUUAGGAUUAGUGGAACUGCCGUAAUGUGAAUGGACGGGACGACUAGGAGCGAACCGUCGUAGUAUGGAAGGACGUGCGGGGACGAGUAGGAGCGAACUGCCAGCGUGUGAACGGCAGGGUAGUGGCUUUCCAUUCUCCCAUGAUACGGGCUUCCGAGAGCUCUUGGAUCUGAGAUCGAACGGUUGCAUGGCGUGAUUCUAGACCUAUGGGUGAAUAUCCUAUCCCGGAGGGUUAUUCUCCAAAUUUUCAGCAACUUAGCAUGCGACCGUUUGAUCUCAGAUCCAAGGGCUGCCAGCAGCCCGUAUCGUGGUCGCGCCUACCACGACCAUCGCGUCGCUCGUGCGGUCGCGCCCUUGGAGAUUUAACACGGUGCGUUAUGCUAUCUGAUGUUGGCAUGUCAUACAUAGUCAUCACUUAGUCACUCAUACUACAACAAGGUUUUGGCUAUAAGUGUAUUUUUUUACUUCUCUGUAUCUCUUUCUUCGUACUCCCUCCGUCCCAUAAUAUAAGAACGUUUUUGACACUAGUGUAGUGCCAAAAACGUUCUUAUAUUAUGAGACACAGGGAGUACUAGUAUUUAUUCCAGUGCCAAGGAGGGACCUCUUCCAAUGAAAUGGUGUUGCUAAGUUUGCUUCAUUUAAUUAGCUAUAGACUCAAAAUUGUCUUUUCACCUAGGUACACCCGCUUAGCACCGUUUCUUUCUUGGGUCACCAAACUAGUCUCUCUCUUCUUGAUUAACUUGCCACAUCAAACUUUAUGUCUAUGUGGCAAGCUUAAGCACCUGUAGGAGCAAGUAAGUACAAUAGUGCGCUUUACAUGGCAUUUUUGCAUAUGUGGAGGAAAGAGAGGCAAGGAAAAAGUGGAGAAGUGGGCUCUCAUGCAAGAGCCAGCCUCUACUACAUGGUGGAGCAUUGGGAGAGGCACCUGUAUGGAGGUGGUCAGGAAUCGGGAGACUCACGCCGGUCGUAGCGCCGCAGUUAAAAUGAUAAUGGCAAGUCAAAUUACGGGGCCCCACCUGUCCAGCAGUAACUCGCUGUCAAAUCACACAGCCCUACGUUUGCAGCAGCCUACACCCUCGUCUUCUCGCAUCUCUGUUGAACCGACUAGGCGGAACUGCCCCGCCUACCACGCAGGAAAAGCCCGCGCAGGAUACUCCCUCCGUCUAAGUGACCAAGGUGGAGAGGAAAACGAGAGAACUUAAUGUUUAGUAUUUGCUAAGGCUGGUUGUAAUGGUACUAGCCUUAGAAAUUUUGAUGAGGUGUCAUAGAAUUAAAUGAAGAAAGAGAGAGAGUUGAGUACUAUGUGUCAUACAUGGCAAUUAAUAAAGUACUACAUGAUACUAAUAUAUGAUACAUGGCGCAAGAGUACUAAGUAUUAUUAAUACAGUUUUGCUAGAACUCAUCUAGAUGAGAUAUAAUUUGGUCUCAUUCAUCUUUUAUAGCCAUUGGAUGUGAUGCUAUAUAAGAUGUGUGUGUGUGCUGACGUGGGUUGUAUUUGUUCUUGUGCAACGAACUGACCACUGCAUGUCAUGUUUGAUACUCUCAAGUCAUUAAAAGCAUACAAGCCCCACAUCUUCUUGGUUGAUUCCUCUAUUUAUGUCAAAAAAUAAGAAACAACGUGAGAGUUAAUGCGGGCGGCGCAGUUCCCGAUACGGCUUUAAUGCAGACGAGGGAGGGAGUAGCGAUUCCCGAUAUGUUGAACGGCCACUGCAUCCUCCUUCAAUUAAUGCAUGAGGGAAGUAAUGGGAGGAGGUCUGGGAAAAGAGGCUGCCCGAUGUGAAUGCAACGCAGUUUGCCCUCAUUGCCCUCAUAUAAAGGCGCCCCUCCAUUCCAAUGCAUCUACCACAUCGUACGCACCUAAGCAUUUGCCUAAGCACCUACACUAAGGGCAAAAGAGCUCACUCCAGACCCAUGGCGGGGAUGCGCGUGAGUGGCCAGAGGCUGCGCCAGAUGGUCCACGACGCCGGCCUGCGGCAUGGCGUCGAGGAUCGUCUCCAGACGGUGUUGGAGACCGGCUGGUGGAUGGCCGCCGUCGACGCCAACUACGACUCUCAGUUGGACCAGAUGAUCAUUGCCACCAGCAACAAGUUCACCAUCCUCAAGAAGCUCGCGGACGACAUCGCCGUACUCCUCCAGCCCGCGCGCCCGGGCUCCUCAUUGCCUGCCACCCUAAUCGGCCUUCAUGGCCGGAACCUCUUUCAAGCACUGGUGGCCCUGCGACUGCCCGCCGAUGCCACGAAGAAUGUCCACCUGGAGGUCGCGCUCGCCGCGAGGCGCCUCACCCUGCAAGAAUUCGUUGACCUACACAUCCACGUGUACGAGCAAAUCGUGUACAUAGGUAUCUACAAGGCCAGUGAGGACGCUACGACGUUGGCCUUCCUCAACCGGCUGGAAGCCUUGGAUGCCUUUGCUGAGAAGCACCUCGACCUCGCCACAAAAGCCGCCGCUCCUUAGCCGCCGGUCGGUGGCCCGGCGCACUAAUUUGAGGAGGAGGAGGUCGUACGUUUGUGGAUCCAUCUUUCUUCUUGCCUUCUGUAACCACCACUACGAUCGCAUCAUCGUGGCCUUAAUUCUUAUUGUGUUGUUGCAUUCUCGUUCCAGUCAAUACCGACAUGUGCGAUCCCUUUGCUUAAUUAUAUGCAUCACUGUAACUAGUACUCCAUCCGUCAAUUUAUAAGUUGUGCUUACCUUUUCCAUCAACUUCGUGCAACGCGCGGGCAUCUUGCUAGAAACACUAGAAUAUGUCUAUAUAAUCCGUAUGUGAAAGUCCAUUUGAAAUCUCAAAAAAGACAAAUAUUUAGGUACGGAGGGAGUAAUAUAUUAGGAGUAUAUCAAAACAAUAGUGAUUUCUUUCAAGUUUGUGAACAAAUACUACUAUUCUACUACUUUAGAUCCGUCGCAACGCACGGGCACAUAGCUGGUAAAGGAAAAGGCCUGUCGCAUUCACGUCGCACCCCCACACGCCCGGGAAUCGGGAGUACAACACGGCCCGUCCGGCACGACACAUAGCUUAGGGAAGGCGUGUUGCCUAGCAUUUUCACUUUCAUGUGGGACCGCCGUUGAGCAAACCGACACCCCGCCCGCCGCCGGGUUGGAAAACAGAAACGAGGGGAAGAUCUAGCUGUAGCACGGAAGCCAAGAAAUUUGGUGUCAGACGGGGCUCGUUGAUAGAGUAGGAGCAUUCCGUACUAGUACUACUCCUACUAGUACCAAGUUUGUACUCCUAAUACUAUAUUACUAGUACUACCACUAUACAACUAGUAGGUACGUGCAUGGCACAACAUCGUAGGAACAAAAAAGGGAAGAUCUUGUUUUGGGUGAUUUAUCUUUUCUUCAAUCAACAUAGUAUGAAUAAUAUGACGUGGGGGCACCCAUGAAGCUUAUGUGGCUUGGUUGCAUGGCUACGGAAGGUUAGAGAAAAAUAAAUAGAUAAUGUGUUUAGAGUGCACUCCACUAAAUAGAUAUACUUUGGAUCCAUUGCAACGGACCAGCACAUCUAUAUCUAUACCCCCUAUAUAGUGUGUGAAAAACUUUGAAAGUUGGUCGUUGGAUGAAGCCAAUCCGACGGUACAAAUAUGGCAAAUCCGAGCACUACUGGCCGUUGGAUAUCAUCCACCAGAUUCUGCCACAUGUAUAAUCUAGAAGACUCCAUGGUUGAACUUAAUUCAUGACUAACUUUGCCACAACUAAGCUUAGGCAAAGUUAUUAGUUCUUCAAAAUGAGAGCCACAAGUUGGCAAGCCUAAGGGAAUCUUGCCACAUUUUUUGUGUGUAUCUCAUGUGGGGCCUUAGUGUGGCUUGCCUAAGGUGUGGCUUGAACCAAACACUCACCUAAGUUAAUCAAACUUGCCUAACCUUACAUUCCACCAGAUUUUGCCACAUGUUAGAAUCCAGAAAGCUCCACAUGUAGAAGCAUAAUGCACAAACCACCAGAAUCUCAUGGUGCGGGAGUACGGAUCGAGCAUAGCAGCGGAGCAGGCAAACCGCGUCCAAUCGGGUGUGUCUGUGGUAGAAAGUUGAUGGUCGCCGCAGUUCAGCUGGCCCGCAUGUCAUGCACACAAAGGCAGAGGAGCGGUGGGGCCGAGAGGGAUGAGGGGCUCGUCGGGGGGAUGAGGAUCCCCUGACGCGAACAAUCCUACCAUUCUGUCACUGACAUGUGGGACCCAUAAGCGUGGGUCCCACCUGUCAGCGAAGGAAAGGCAGGGCAAGGCAGUGAUAGCCACGUCAGAGGAUCCAUGUCCAUGUCGGGGGACGUCGUGUCGUGGGUUGGAGUGGCGUCGUGGGAAUCGCGUGCGGGUGUGGCAGUGGUAGAAACAAGAAACGUGAUGGUCGCCGUGGUUCAACUUCCAUGGACAAGCUGUCAUGUCUGUUGACACAUGUAUAUCAAAACUAGAGUGUUUAUAUUUCAAGCACGUGAACAAGUAUUAUUCUACUACUUUGGAUCCAUUGCAACGCACGGGCCAGCACAUUGGUAGUAGUAGUGUCCAUCUCUAUCUCUAGAGGCCUUCCCUCGUUUAUCCUUUUCUCUCACAAGAUAAACUACUCAUACAAAUGCAUCUUGAUGUUCCGUGGAACGCACGAGGAUGUUUCCUUGGGGGUCUCUCCAGCGCGGCGUGGCCGUAGUUGCAAGUUGACGCCCCUUGAGAUGCCGACGUUGAGGGGCACUCGGAUUUCCUCCGAUGAGCAGGUAAGAUGAGUUUGAUCAUGUAGUAAAUGCAUUCUAAAGACUACUUCCAUGUCCAUUUCCUAAUUCUUCCCCUGCCCACUGUUUCACAGGUUAGGCUCGGUGCGAGUGGAGAUUGGCUUGCAUAUGUACGGGAGGGUACCAACAUCAAUUUGCACAACAUUUACAACGGUGACACCGUUCCCGUAGAACCUUUGUCCAACAUUGGGAUCAGCCAUGCAACGGGCCACCGCAUGAAUUGGUACAAUGGAACCACGGUGAGAUUGAAUAAGAUAGCACGAACCUUGCACAUGGCGGUCAAAGGCGGACCAUGCUGUCUGCGGCCGAUUUGUUGCCGUACGAGUAGGAAGACGCUGUGCUCCUUUCUAACCGCAUCUUCGCGGUGACAAACCAGGGGACUUAUUUUGUAUGGGACACAUCCUACGAUAUACUCCCUCUCUCCCAGUUUAUUUGUUUUGAAUCUUUUCGUUUUAUAAGUUUCAAAUUCAAAUUUAGAGCUCCCCAUCACAUGUUGAGAUUACAAUGUCCAUUAAAUUGUUGCGUGCAUGUAUAGUAAAGAAACAAAUCUCGAGUUUGGCACGAGUUCGUGCUGCGGGAGCACCACAAGCCCUGGCGCAGGAGUUACAUUUCCCUCUCAGGGCCGUCGGGACUGAGCUUCAGCGCCAUACUACACCUACCUUUGAGUCAAUAACAUGUGGACCCGAUAGGUGACUGGUCCACAUGUAAUGCUCUCGUAGGCAGAGGGGCAGUGGGGCCAAGAGGGGUGAGCCGUAGGUCGGGGGACGUGUGGUUUCAUGGGUUCGAGCGGCGUCGUGGGAAUCGCGGGUGGCUGUGGUAGAAACUUGAUGCUCGCUGCAUUUUAGGUGGCCCACAUGUCAUGCACACAAAGGUAGAGGGGCGGUGCGGCCGAGAGGGGUGAGGCGCACGUCGGGGGGCAUGGUGUCGUGGGUUGGAGAGGCGUCGUGGGAAUCGCGAGAUGAAACGUGAUGGUCGCCGUAGUUGAACUUCCAUGGACAAGCUGUCAUGUCUACGGACACAUGCACUGCAUACCGAUCACUGGAAGGAGUAGCAGAGAAAGCUAUAUAUGCGGAUAAAUAGUUCCUUAUAGUCAAGCGGACCCACGCUACUACUCUGUUCAAAAGACAUGCACACCAUCGAAAUAGUCCAUCUAUAUCAAUAUACACCGAGAGGGAAUAAUUUUUUUUACAAGAGAGGAAAUAGUUCAUCCAUCCAUAAUACCCUCCUGCUGGUGCAGCCUUUUCUUCUUCUUCUUCUUCUUCUUCUUCUUCUCAUUCUUUGUGGGAGACGGCUUCACAACAAGCUCUUUGGAUCUUGCAGCUAUCUCGAAACUCACACCAGCAUCGAGGGCAGCAUAUUUUAUCCGCUCGUACGUCAAGGGAUAAUUCUCCCAUCCAGACGACCUUAAUGCCACCGUCUCGUCACCCUUCUGAAGAUUUGUACCGAGCACAAAAUUUGCUACGUCGAUUAGGAAUGGUGUCUGUUUAUCACAAUCUUCUACAGGAAUUUUGAUUCUGGUUUGUAGGUCAGCGAUGCUUUUCAAAUCAAGGUUGUACGACUCCAGCUUCUGUUUGUCCCCUUCGAUGGCUGCCCGACAGAAGUAUACGUCCUCCCGAGACAAGAAAUCAUGAAGCUCAGCUGGUAUGGAGGGCGAGUGUAUGAUGUGGUACACCAAAACAUCAUCUUUGAGGCACAGCUGAAGGACGGCGGCGCGCUGGAUCUUCCCAGGGGCACGCUCCGUGUACUCUGCGUCGAGACUGAUGACCCUCGUCUCGACCUUUUCGAGGGAGUUGGAUACAUUGUUGAUCCACUGCCGAACAACCGUUGGGUGGUCGGUGACGGUGGCAACUAUGUGCAUCGAGCCUUCGACGAGGACAUGUUGGAUGCUAAAAACAUGCAUCUCGAUCUCUUUCGCCAUUUGGAACAGCUGGAACGGAGGGCUAUGGUUUGGAGAAUUAAGAUUAGAUGGCUAGUCUAACUGAAGUAGUAGAUGAUUAUUUAAAGAGGUUAAAACAAUGUGAACGCAGUGGGGUUUGGAUGCAAAUGAAGAUGAAGGGGAGGUGAAGAAGCCGAGGAGAAUCGGUUCCCGAUGGAGAAGUAAAUGGGAGAAGUGGCGUGCAGGCAGUUGAUUAGACGGCUAGGUAGACUAAACGAAAAGGCUAUGCGGGUAGACUGAUGAGUCGUACCUGUUCGUCUACAUGCCCAUCCUUCCUGAUAGGUGGGACCUAUGCAAACAGAUAAAAAAAUGUGUUGUAGUUUAUCUUUUGAGCGCGUGAGUGGGAGACACAACAUUCUCUGGAUAAGGAAUACUCCCUCCAUUUAGGUGAUUAUAAGUCACCUUAUGAAAAUCAGGUUUUCCCAAAACCUUUAGGCGUGGAGCAUUAACUUCCUGCUCGAUCCCCUCCUAGCCUCGUUAGCCAGCGUUCUCUUCCUCUGCUGCCGCGUUCUACCUUUCCAUUUUUCCUCUUCUCAAGUGUGGAACGAUCUGCAUGCCAUCCUUGAUGCACCAGAAUGACCACUGCAUGCAUCACGGUAGGGCGUUGAUUGGGCAUGCACGAGAAUUUGGUUCUGCGCGCAAUAUGGAUGAUACCUGAAUGAUGAAGUGAACAGGCAUGCUAGCACGGGAGACCUAUUUCCGCUAUACAAUACUGGAGUACUCAUGUUCCUACUAGUAGUAGUAGUAGUAGUACAACUGUGGUACACUUGAUGGUCAAAAUACUAUUCAUCCGGUCCUCACAGUGAAGUGACAACACCCUGCGCCUGACACUAGUCCAGGCGGCAUGUUCGGGUUACCAAAGUCAGCCUCACCCUGUGCACUGUGCAGUCUGUCACCGCCGUUGUAUAGCACAUUGGCGCCUCGCCUCGUCUCCCUCUCCGCUCCCAUAGCACCACUCCAUCUCCAUCUCCUUCUCCGUCUCCGUCUGCAUCUCACUGUGCCCCCGUGUACCGUCGGCUCACUCGCCUCCCCCAGUACCACUAUUCCCUCGCUAGCCGCUCCAGCACCGACAUCCUUCUCCCCCGUAAAUCAAGCCCCCUUCCAAACUCCACCAUGGCCGAACGCGAACCGCGCUGCAUCCAUAUGAGCCGCGAUUGGAGCAAUCUCCCCAGUGACAUCCUCGACCUCUGUUGUUCGUGUAUGGAUAUAUUAAGCGCCCUGCGGCUGGCUGCAUGCUCGAGGGACAUGCACACGGCCAUCGUCGAAGCGAGGCCUAAGCUUUUCAGGACACCCUGCUUGCUUCUAUCUGGUCUUGCGAGAUUGGCUCACCAUGAUACGGAGGCGUGCAUGAUGCCCCUCGACUUCAAUCUGAUCUCCAUUAGCCGAAACUUCUUUGCUGGUAUGUAGUGGGUCGCCGUACAUCAUUUCCCUCGACAUCGAUCCGAUCACCAUCACGCGAAACUUCUUGGCAGGUAUGUACUGGGUCGGCAUGAACUCCCACUGGAUGGCUGCCUUCAGAGAAGAUGGUAAAAAGUUGGUGCUCCUGAACUUCCAGACCUCCCAUGAGAUUAUCCUUCCUCCGUUGGAUUAUAUAGAGUAUUACCAUCGCGGUCCAAGUCAUCUAGAUUACUACGUUAGUUGGACGGACCUUGUUUUGCAGAAGAUUGUAAUCUGCCAAGAGCCCACACGACAUGCGAAUUACGCAGACUUCAAGCUUAUUGCCUUGUUCGACCGCGGACUCGCCUAUCUUUACGUCGGUGCCUUCUUUAGCUGGAGCAACUCGGCUCGCAGUGGAUCAUCGUCAAAGCUGAUACACACUUCUGUGAUGCUAUUGAACACAAUGGCAUCAUCUACGCGAUCGACAAAGCAGAUGGCACCACGUAUUGCUGGGACAGCACGUGUAAGUUGUUUCCUUCUCAUGUUAAUGAUGACAUCCUGACACUGUUUGAACUUUUUGUGAUGAUUGGCAUAUCCCUGUUUGAGCAGAAUUUGAGUAGAACUAUGGCAAUGUAUUAGAGACGCCAUAAAUCAGCUAUAUUUGGAAUGAGUUAAUUCAUGCGAUUGUGACCAUGUCAUUACAGCCAAUUUGUACCCUGAAUAAUCAAACGGUUAGGAAUAUAUGGAUAUUAUCCUUAUUUUACAGUAAUCUAUAUACUACUACUAAAUAUGAGUGUGUAUCAAUGGCCAUGUUAGUUUCCUCAUUUUCAUGAUGUAGAAACAUGCACCACACUGUUGGUUUCAUCUAACCAUACAUUAGGGAAGUAAAUGUGCAUAUGGAGAACUCUAUAUUUGGAAGUAGUGUAAUCCUGCAAUGCUUACCAUGUGUACAUACCUAUAUUUGCCCUUCAGCAAUCAAUGGCUAGAAUAAUAUCCUCACAAAAAUUUUGCCCACAGAACACGAGUAUAUAACAAUGCAUGGUCUGUUAGUUACCUUGAAGAAUUUGUUUGUGAGGACAGAACAUGAUUACUCCCUCCGUUCCCAAAUAUUUGUCUUUCUAGAGAUUUUAACAAGUAACUACAUACGGAGCAAAAUGAGUGAAUCGACACUCUAAAAUAUGUCUACAUACAUCCGUAUGUCGUGUCUAUUUGAAAUGCCUAGAAAGACAAAUAUUUGGGAACGGAGGGAGUACAUAACAUGCAUGACAUGGUAGUUUCCUAUGAAGAAUCGAUUGCGAGAUAACAUGAGUGUAACCAUGCAUGGCACUUCUAUAUUUUCGAACCCAGUAUACAUUUCCCUGUAUUUUCCUCCCAGUUCCAACAGGGACAUAUCAAUGUUGUUUCUUGCAUUAUCCUACUCAUACUCUGAACAAUGCUGAUCUUACAUUAACAAUGCCUGUCCUUUUUGAUAUGAUGCAGUGUCCCUACAGUUACUGCCCUUUGUAAUCACACCACCUUUGCCAAAAACAGGGAAGCACAACUGGUUCCUCGCUCGAUCAGACGACGACAAAAGACUGAUGAUCAUUCGGACACAUGAGCCGGAAAAGUUAUAUUGCAAAAACCCCACUAUAUACAAGCACCGUGUAAUACGUGAGUAUCCGGACAGUGGCUGUUACGUCUAUGAGCAGGAUACCAACUUGUUGGGGCCUUUAGGAUUUUUUAGUUGGAGGCGGGUAAACAGCCUUGGUUCACACUCUCUAUUUCUCGGACUCAAUUAUACGAUUAACCAGGAGAUCACCGUUGGCAAGGACCUUGAUGGCAGAGAGGCUCUGUUAGCUAUGGAAAACUGUGUCUACACGGCGAGCCCUAGGAGUUCGGGAGCAAACUCCCCUGAUUGUCAACGAUACAGCCUGCAGCCAAAAGAAGGUGAGAAUGACAAAGGCAUCCGGAUUAACUUUGAUCCUUGGAUGUCUCAAUUACGACAGGCAGUGAUGUGGUUCAAGCCUUCAGGUUGAUAGGUAAUUGGGUUGUUGCAUCGAAAGGGUGGAGUACUGGUGUCUCCGGAUCACUGGUCGCUGAAGCGGGGCUGCAAAUUAUGAUGGUGUUGGAUCAUCUCUUCGAAUGACUUUGUUGUCUUUGCUGCUGGUUCUGGAUGGGUACUUCUUUCUUUUGUUAUGCAUAUUCCUUGUCAUUUGGUCAUCCUCGUCUAUGUCACUCUUACUAUGUAAUAGUUGCUUCUGUUUAGAAUGUCAUUCUCGUCUAGAUCACGAGAGUCUGAGCGCUGCAGAUGGGUGCGUUUUGGUGGUGUAGCAAGACUUCUUAUGAACUAUCAUGUCUUGCUGUUUAUGCCAGUAGUAGUCACUAGUCAGUGUUUGAAUGUUGUAUAUAUCGUUGUUUCGAACUAUUUAUUGUCUCGAACUACUGGUGGGCUAAAUGAGGGCAUCACCAUUCUCCAGUGUUCAGAGUAUAUCUCCUUUUUUCAAGUUAUAUAAUUUGAGCUCAGUGUCUUUUCGAUGAUGUACACUUGUUUGGGCCAGUGAGGUGUCGUUGAAUAUGGGCCGAGUAGUAACGCAAUGCCAAACAGGUCAAUUAUGACUCUCAGGCCGGGCUCUCAAAAGAUCCUGAAAAAAAGGUCGGGCUCUCCAAAAAAGAAAGAAUAAGGACUCUUAUGCCGACAUGUGGGCGCCACUGGUGUUUUCGUGCGCUUGCGCGCCUAGAGCAUAUUGGUGCGUGCUCGAAAUUCAUGCUACCUUUUCAUCCCCAGUCUCCCGCCCCUCCCCCACCUCUGGAAUCUCGAUUCCUACUCCAGCUCCCCCAAAUCCCCCUCAUGUACUCCCUGUACUCAAGCGCACUAUCAUGUCGCCGGUCAACGCGGAUCUCCAAGCCGGAGAUCCUGAGGUCCGUCCUGCCUUCGGUCGCUGCGUGCUGUCGCUCAACAGUGGCAUGGCGACGCUUGAUGACCAGUUUGCCGGCAAAGUGCUGAUGGUAACCAUCAACGGCGACCGGCCUCCCGUCUCGCCGGACGACCUUGUCAAAGCUCUUGGCAUUGCGCACGGCAUCCAAAUAAGUGACUUGCUCGUCGAAGUCUGUCCGCCACCGGCUGAUUUCUUCGUCAGGUUCCGAACAACUUUCGACUGCAGUCGUGUGUUCGAAUCUUCCCGAUGUUUGUUCUGCGAUGGCACGCUGGUGAGCUUUGAUCGGUGGCACCCAGGAUGGGGCUCGGUGCCCUCUGAGCUUGAGUUUUUAACAAAGCUUACCUUCCACGGCAUGCCUCGACGUGCUUGGAACAGCGAGUCCAUGAACAAGCUUAUCAACGACCUUGGAGGUGAGCUCGUAAGUAUGUUUGUUCCUCCAGACAGCUGGGCUCUGGUGGUUAUGGCAUGGAUGAAGAAGCCGUCCACCAUACCGAAGGUGAUUGGUGUUGAGAUAUCGGUGCAGGAACCGGGGUUGUACUAUUCGUCGCCACCAAGGCCGCCGCGGACCACGUUAGGGAUGUACCUGUAUCGAGUGUUCGUGCAUGUCGAAGAAGUGGUCAAUCCAUCAAUCGAAGUCCUGCCGCCGCCGCUGGUGCCAGGGUCCGUCGACGACGUCCAUUAUAGGAGUCAACGUCAGACUUUCCCCGUGUUGCUCGGAACGAUGGAUGGCACAGGGCCUACUCCAGCGCGCGGUGGAGGCCACUGCUUCUUUGGGAGAAGAGGCAGGGCUGGCUGCCUGGAUGUGCUCUAAUUUGAGGUAACAACUGAAUCUUGUCAGAUACUAGUUAAAUCCGAGCUAUGGGUGUGAAGCACUGAUAUGCCAGUACAUUUGAUUGUGACCUGUUCUAAUUUUGUACCUGAACUUUUUUUAGAAAGGGUUGUACGUCAACUUAAUGUGCUAGCAGAACUUAUUGUGUUGUUUGUCUGUUUUCUUUGCACAACAUUCAAGAUAUUUCCCCGUCAUUGAUAAAGACGAUGAACCGUUAUAUAUGACUUCGUUGGUUUCAACAUAGCCCUUCCCGUAGCGAUCCACUGCUUCCAUCCUGAUUGUGCCGCCUGCGUGAAAUUUUUGUAUGCAAUUUCAGUGUGCUAUGAUGUUCUAUAUGAUUGUGCCAACUAUAUAAGUUCUUACUGAGCAUCGGCAAUGCAUAUGGCUGAAAGAUGUAUUUACGAGCAUCAACGGAUGGGUCUCUCUCUCUCUAUCUCUCUCUCUCUCUCUCUCUCUCACGCACACACACGCACACACACGCGCACACGCACAAGUGGGACCCGUUGAAUUAUUUAUUUGCUCGUGACAGCUUUUAAUCAGGUUCCACUGUAAUCUAACUUUUUUCUUAAAUUAUUAAUUGAGCUCAGUGACUUCAAAAAGUUGUACAGAAGCCUUGUUUGGACCUUUCCGGCGUCGCUGAAUGUGGGCUGAGUAACCAUGUUAGGUUGUACUGUACUACACAGGCCUUUUUUCAACAUCAGCAAUGCAACUGGGCCGACAGUUGUACACAAUAUCCGGGUCAACUUGUUAUUCUCCGCCUCGCAGGGCUGCAAACUUUCCUAGGAGGAUGCAUUAGGCUUAACAAGAAAAUGGACUUUAAGAAAUAAUAAAUGGUAUGUAAUUAUAAUAACUGGACAGUUACUAUGCACCAAACACGUAAUUAGUUUGAAAAAUAUAUUAUUUUUGGAAUUUGAAAAUUUUAAUUUCAUUACGUGUUGCGCGCGCAAUAUUUCGUUGGAUUUUAACGUAAUACAACUUUAUUUUGAAAUUAUAUUUGACCUGACUAGAAAUUUCGGAUAAAAAUAUCUCGGAUCCCAUCAAAAUGUGGGAAUUUUUUUAAUUCUGUUUUGAGCAGUUGUUUGAAAUUAUUAAUCGUUGUCCUAGCUAGAAGUUGGGCUACUUUUAACAAACUGUAAAUGGGCUGUAGUAAAUUCCAUUAGAAUUAAAAAUGGGUUGUACAUUCUUACAAAUCGCAAAUGGGCUAUAUGUUCUCUGCCAAAUCCGAGCUGUGGGCCUACUAAGUUGACGCGUACCAAGGGCUUUGUCAACUUAGUCAAUAUAAACGAUUCUAGCUGGAGUGAACGUACGAUGUCCAUCCAACGGCCGUAGUGCUUCUUGAACCUCUGGUCUUCUUGCUCCAGCCGCCCAAAGCAGCGCCGGUCGUGUCGCGUGCUCCUGCCUCCCGUGGCCGGCUGUGAUGCCAUGGAGGCCUCACCGGCCCGUACUACUCACACCGCUGGCCAGGCCAUCCCACUAGUCACCCACACCCCUGUUAUCUGUGGCGACGGCAGCCUCACACCACAGCUGAACCAGUGAACCCUCGUACUCCUCUCCGUGUGGGCUUCCACUGCUGCGUCCUCCCCGGCUCCGCGUCGUCCCCUUCCUAGGCCUCGCCGUCGUCCAGACCACCGCCCUGGAGCUCUCGGCGCGGCGUGGUCAACGUGGUCAACGAUCGACUUCCAUCGAAAGAGUACUGUACGUGGAGAGGCUGACAGCUGGGUCCAGGCGGCCGUAAGGAAGUGCCUCCUUAUUACGCGCAAAAUAAUUAUUCCUCCACCUGACAGCAGGGACCCACCGGACGGGCCACCUUAUUUUGCGAAAAAAUGUUUCCCCCCUGACUGCUGGGACCCACCGGACGAACCAGCGUAUUUCGCGAAAAAAAGUUCGCCCCGCUAUCCGCUCGGACCCACCGGAACUGCCUCCUUAUUACGCACAAAAUAAUGAAUACUCCCCUUGCUAGCUGGGACCCACCAUGGUGGGAGGCUGACUUGUGGGCCUACUAAGUUGACUGGGACGGGGGCCUUUGUCAACUUUAGUCAAUAUGAACGAUUCUGGCUCCAGUGACCGUACGAUGUCCAUCCAAUGGCCGUAGUGCUUCUUCAACCUCACCUCUGGUCUUCUUGCUCCAGCCGCCCAAAGCAGCGCCGGUCGUGCCGCAUGCUCCUGCCUCCCGUGGCCGGCUGUGCUGCCGCGGAGGCCUCACCGCCCGCUACUAUUCCCACCGCUGGCCAGGCCCUACGGCGACGGCAGCCUCACACCGCAGCCGAACCAGUGAACCCUCGUACUCCUCUCCGCGCGGGCUUCCACUGCCGCGUCUUCCCCGGCUCCCCGUCAUCCCCUUCCUAGGCCUCGCCGUCGUCCACCGCCCUGGUGCUCUCGGCGCGGCGUGGUCAACGUGGUCAAGGAACGACUUCCAUCGGACGUGGACUGUACGUGGAGAGGCUGACAGCUGGGUCCACGGCCGCAGCAAGGAAGUGCCUCCUUAUUACGCGGAAAAUAAUGAUUCCUCCACCUGACAGCGGGGACCCACCGGACGGGCCACCGUAUUUCGUGAAAAAAACGUUUCCCCCUGACUGCGGGGACCCACCAGCUACAUCUUCACACGCAAGGAAGUGCGUCCGGGCAAAAAAAAACGAUUCGCCCCCCUGACUGCUGGGACCCACCAGCUACAUCUUCGCAGGCAAGGAAGUUCCUGACAGUCGGGACCCACCUGGUCGAAGCAUAUGUAGCAUUGUCAUUCUGGUCGCGAAGGUGUACGUACAUACUGGUCGAUGUAGAGGCGCGCACGUGUCGUAGUAGAGACGCGCACGUAGCCUGUACACGUACGUACAACGGCCAGUGUGCAAGAAAGAAAAUACGGCCACGUACGUACAUAUGGGCAGGGUCUCGAACGCCUACUCGUGCAUACGUACGGCCAGGGCUCGUGUACAUGCCUGGGUCAGAACGGAGAAACAGCGUCGUCGUGUUCAUGGGGAGCCAACCGGCUGGGUCGGAACGGAAUGCGUCGUCGUGUUCAUCGGGAGGGCUUCGACGGAACAGCCGAUGCAAACGAGGCCUGGCAUACCGCAGAACGGAGGAAACAGCCUUUUGUUCGACCGGCCACGUUUGAAACAGGAUCCUGUUCAUCGGGAGGGGUCCGGCGUACCGCAAAACGGAGGAAACGGACCUCCUACGGUCGAAACGGGGGUCCUGUUGAUCGGGAGGGGUGUGGCGUACCGCAAAACGGAGGAAACGGACUUGUGUUGGAGCGCUACGGUCGAAACGGGGGUCCUGUUCAUCGGGAGGGGUGUGGCGUACCGCAAGACGAGACUCCACGGGACACUGUUCAUCUCCACCGUCGACCCCCUCCAGCCUCCACGGGCUAUUGUUCGUCCACCGUCGAUCUCCUCCAGCCUCCACCUGCGACUGUUCAUCCACGGGCUCCUGUUCAUCCAGCCUCCACCACGCGCUAUUCGACCGGCUACUGUUCAACCAGCCCUCUCCACGGCCUCCUAUUCAACCACCCCUCCACGGGCUACUGUUCAUCCAGCCCUCCACCGUCUACUGUUCAUUCUGCCCUCCACGGGGUGGUCCUGUUCAUCCUGCCCUCCACGGGGUCCUGUUCAUCCAGCCCCAACCGGCUCGAUCAAUCGGGGUCCUGUUCAUCCAGAGGCAACACCACGGGGUCCUGUUCAUCCACCCCCACCGGGAACUGUUCAUCCAACCCCCCCAGCAACGCUCACUAUUCAUCCAGAGGCAGCAUCGAUCGGCAUCAGUUAGAAGCAGUAGCGAAGGAAUCGCUCGAUCGGGUUCAGUUAACAGCCAUCGAUCGAUCGCUCGGGUUCAGUAACGCGUAGCCUGCAGUGCAAUCGCUCGGGUUCAGUUAGAGCCCAACGCCUCGCUCGGGUUCAGUUAGAGCCAACGCCUCACACACACGCGCGUACGUGUACGAGAGAAACGCGCAUCGCUCGGCCCCCGACCUCCCACCGUAACCGGGAACUCCCCGAAAUUUUCCUCGCCCUCGCUUCUACCACGGUUUUUCCCGUCAUGGACGGCCCAAAGAAUGUCAUGCAGCUGCGUCUCCGGCCCGCCCAGGAUGAAAAGCCCAUUUUCUGUCAUGAUUUUUUGUCAUAGAAGUAGGAGCCCACCACAUCUAUGAUGAUACCGGGUUUUGUCACAAUUAUCAUCAUAGAAGUGUCAUAUGUAUGACAGAAAAAAUUUCGUUCGGCCCAAAAUGUCAUGGAUGUGUCUUUUUUUUGUAGUGUAAGAGAGACUUUGUUGCUAGUAAGCACGCUAAAGAAAGAGAACCAUGGGUUCUGAAACCCAUGCCCUUUCCUCCCAAACCAUCCAAGAAAAAGGAUGAUGAGGAUUUUGAGCGCUUUGCUGAAAUGAUUAGACCUAUCUUUUUGCGUAUGCGUUUUACUGAUAUGCUUAAAAUGAAUCCUUAUGCUAAGUAUAUGAAGGAUAUUGGUAAAAAUAAAAGAAAGAUACCGGAAGCUGAAAUUUCCACCAUGCUUGCCAAUUAUACUUUUAAGGGUGGAAUACCUAAGAAACUAGGAGAUCCAGGACUACCAACUAUACCAUGCUCCAUUAAAAGAAACUAUGUUAGAACUGCUUUAUGUGAUCUUGGAGCCGGUGUUAGUGUUAUGCCUCUCUCUUUAUAUCGUAGACUUGAUUUGAAUAAGUUGACACCUACUGAAAUAUCUUUGCAAAUGGCUGAUAAAUCAACCGCUAUACCUGUCAGUAUUUGUGAGGAUGUGCCUGUUGUGGUUGCAAACGUUACUAUUUUAACAGACUUUGUUAUUCUUGAUAUUCCCGAGGACGAUUGUAUGUCGAUUAUCCUUGGUAGACCCUUUUUGAAUACUGCAGGGGCUGUUAUUGAUUGCAACAAAGGCAAUGUCACUUUUCAUGUUAAUGGUAAUGAGCAUACGGUACAGUUUCCGAGGAAACAACCUCAAGUCCAUAGUAUAAACUCUGUUGGAAAAUUUUCAACUAUUACUAUUGGAGGUUUUGAAUUUCCUCUUCCUACUGUCAAGAAGAAAUAUGAUAUUCUUGUUGUUGGGGAUGUGCAUAUCCCCGUUGAGGUAACCUAGUGUUAUUCGAAAUUUCUCCGGUUCCAUGUUAUCAAAAAGAGUUUGUUAACAAGACUUGAUCAACCUUGUUAGUGGAUUCCUUUUGAUGAGCAUGAUAUGGAUGAAGUUAGAAAGCACAACCUUCUGUACCCUCCUUUUACUUUCUGUUAUUUAGAUUAAAUAAAGCAAAAAUAGUAUUUUCUCUCUGUUUUUUGAAUUAUCCGUGCAAUAAAAAUACCCCAAAAAUAAAAGUUCUCCAAAUGCCCUGAAAAUGAAAUAUGAUUUUUUCCGGAUUUUUUUAGAAUAUCUGGCACUGAGAACACAUCAGGGGGAGCAAGCAUCUGGCCACGAGGGUCCAGCACGCGCCCACCCCCUGGGCGUGCCCCCCUGCCUCGUGGGCCCCUGGUGGCCCCCCUCCACUUAUUCCAGCCACCACACACUCCUUCUUCGUCCCAAAAAAUCACCAACCAGCUCAAGCACGAGUUCUAGCUCAUCUUGCUGCCAUUUUGGAUCUCCUUGCUCAAAGCUCCACUCACAAAACUGCUUUGGAGGAUUGUUCUUCGGUAUGUGACUCCUCUAAUGGUCCAAUUAGUUUUUGUUCUAGUGCUUUAUUUAUUGCAAAUUUUUGCUGCUUAGGUGACCACGUUCUUGAGCUUGCAUGUCAAAUUUAUAUGGUUCCAAGUAGUUCUAAUGCAUGAUAUAGUCUCUAGGCACUUGUGGGAGUAGUUGCUAUUAAUUUUGUUGAGUUUGGUUCACUUUUAUUUUAAGUUACUAAAAAUUUCAGAAAUUUUCAGAAAAUGAUGAAGAUAUUUUUGAGGGGCUCUUCGAGCCGAAGCUCGAAGGAUAAGCAAAGUGAAGAGGAUAAGAGGCCCAAAUAUAAUCUCCCUCACACCACGGAGGUUCGGCCGUGUGAAUGGCCUUGUGAUGAUUUCUUGAGGGCAGCCGGGAUUCAUGAGGAUUUUUAUUAUUUGGCUGAGAAUGCGGGCCUCACCGACUUCCUUCGCGACCAGCACGAACAGUAUCUCCUACUCACUAAUAUUUUUGUGCAAAAUUUUCAUUUCCAUGCUAGGAGAUCACCACCCUCAGUGGAUUUUUAUUUAUAUGAUGAGUAUAAGGAGAUGACCCUUUUUGAUUUCUGCCGGAUCUAUAAGAUACCCUUUACGGGCAGCAUAGAGGAACCACAUCGUAAUGAUGUGGAAGGGUUCAUUGAUAUGAUUGCUGUAGGGGAAACAAGGAAAGUUUCCGAUGCAAGAAUCACUAGCAUACAAUUUCCGGUUCUGCAUUACUUUGCGAUAUUUGCUAGUAGAUGUUUAAUUGGUCGCGGAAACUGUGGAAACCUUAGUGCCCCUGAUAUUUUUAUUUUGGGCCAUGCCUUGUUUCGUGAUAACACUUUUAGUCUAGGCGCUAUUGUUGCCAAGCGGUUAAAUCUGAACCGCACGAAGGGUCCCAUCUUGGGAGGUAUCUUCGCCUCGCACCUCGCUGCACACUUUAACAUACCUACUAGGCAUUAUGAGAAAGAAGAAAUGUUGUUGCCUCCUGUUUUUCUAGACUAUAAGAGUAUGGUAGCACAUGAUUUUAUAGUUAAGAAUAAGAAAAGGAUGCUUAACUACAGACUAAUAUUUGAUAAAGAUCACCCUGAGACUAUUACUUUGCCUGCUCCUUCUUUGUUUAACUUAUCUACAUGCAAGUAUCUUGUUCUGCCGGAGGCAUUUCAUGCCUACCAGAGCCUCACACCAACUCCAGAGCCAGAGCAGGAACCACAACUUGAUCCUCCAUGUCAUUCUGUUUACUAGUGGGAUCCGGAGGAGAUCGCCAAUCAGUGGUACCCCGAGGCUCCAUCUCAGUACGACCCCAACUACAACUUUGGAUAUCCGCCAGGCCACCCAUGGCCAUAGACCAACUUAGGCCAAAAGCCUAAGCUUGGGGGAGUACGUAUCUCUCACCGACAUUACAUUCAUGUUCACACACUCAUUUUAAUUGUCGGUGCUCAUACUUUUUCAUUGUAUUAUCCAUGCUAGUUUAUUUUCCUUUCUUGCUUUCUUCUUGUGUGUUUGAAAAACCUUAAGAAAAACCAAAAAAAUUAGUUGUAGCUUUUAGUUAGUUUACUUUCCAUGCCUGUUGUAGUAAUAAUUGAAAGAAAACCCAAAAAGAUUUCUUGUUUUUUUUGCUUGUUGGGAGCUUUCCCGUGUAAAUAGUUUUAUUUCUUUCCUUUUCUUUGGGGGUCGAGAGGAGAAGACCAUAAUGAAAUUGUUGAAGUGGCUCUUAUAUGCAUAAUUGUUGAUUUAACAAAGAGCCCAUAUUAUCUUGUCUUCCCCUUUGCAUUGAAUGCCUGCAGAUUCCAGCUUAGUCCAAUGCACGUGCACUAUUAUUAUUAUCCACAUUGUUCGGUCGUGCAAGUGAAAGGAGCUGGUAUGAACUCGACCUCUCUUGUUUUUGUAAAUAUGAUUAGUUCAUCGUUCCUGAUUCAGCCUAUUAUGAAUGAACAUGUUUGCAAUGACAAUUAGAGAUUAUAGUUGCUUAUGCCAUGCUUAAUUAGCUAGGAAUUUAUAAUGGUUUACCUUGCGUGCCAACAUGCUAUUAAAAUGGUUGUGAUGUGGUAUGAUAGGGUGGUAUCCUCCUUUGAAUGAUUCAAGUGGCUUGACUUGGCACAUGUUCACACAUGUAGUUGAAACAAAAUCAACAUAGCCUCCACGAUAUUUAUGUUCAUGGUGGAUUAUAUCCUACUCAUGCUUGCACUCAAUGUUUAUUAAUCUUGAUGCAUGUUCAUGACUGUUGUCGCUCUCUAGUUGGUCGCUUCCCAGUCUUUUUCUAGCCUUCACUUGUACUAAGCGGGAAUACUGCUUGUGCAUCCACUUCCAUAAACCCCAAAGUUAUUCCAUAUGAGUCCACCAUACCUUUCUAUAUGUGGUAUCUACCUGCCGUUCCAAGUAAAUUUGUAUGUGCCAAACUCUAAACCUUCAAAUGAAAUUCUGUUUCAUAUGCUCGAAUAGCUCAUGUAUCAACUAGGGCUGUCUGUAUCUUCCAUGCUAGGCGGGUUAUUCUCAAAAGGAGUGGACUCCGCUCCUCACUCACAAGAAAAUGGCUGGUCACUGGGAUGCCCAGUCCCAUGCUCUAAGCAGAUCAAAUCGAAAUAAUUGCAAACAAAACUCCCCCAGGGUUGUUCCUAGUUGGAGGCACUCGUUGUUUCGAGCAAGCCAUGGAUUGAUGCUUGUUGGUGGAGGGGGAGUAUAAACUUUACCAUUCUGCUUGGGAACCGCCUAUAGUGUGUGUAGCAUGGAAGAUAUCGAGAUCUCUCGGUUGUUAUGUUGACAAUGAAAGUAUGCCGCUCAAAAUAUUAUUUAUCUCUGCUUUAAAAUCGAGCUCUGGCACCUCUACAAAUCCCUGCUUCCCUCUGCGAAGGGCCUAUCUAUUUACUUUUAUGUUAAGUCAUCACCCUCUUAUUAAAAAGCACCAGCUGGAGAGCAUCGUUGUCAUUUGCAUCCAUUACUAUUAAUUUAUAUUGAGUAUGACUAUGACUGGAUCUCUUUUACCAUGAAUUACAAUGUUUAGUCAGUCCUUGAUCUUCAAAGGUGCUCUAGAUUUAUGUUUUGCGGUCUCAGAAAGGUCUAGCGAGAUAUCAUCUUGUUAUAUCAUAUUAUAAUUGUUUUGAGAAAGUGUUGUCAUCCGAGAUUUAUUAUUAUUGCUCGCUAGUUGAUUAUGCCAUUGAUAUGAGUAAACAUGAGACCUAAGCGUUAUUGUGAAUAUGGUUAGUUCAUAAUCUUUGCUGAAAACUUGAAUGCUGUCUUUACAUAUUUGCAACAACAAGAGCAAACAGAGUUUGUAAAAGUUUGUAUUUAUCACUUUCAGUUUAUCAACUGAAUUGCUUGAGGACAAGUAAAGGUUUAAGCUUGGGGGAGUUGAUACGUCUCCAUCGUAUCUACUUUUCCAAACACUUUUGCCCUUGUUUUGGACUCUAACUUGCAUGAUUUGAAUGGAACUAACCCGGACUGACGCUGUUUUCAGCAGAAUUGCCAUGGCGUUAUUUUUGUGCAGAAAUAAAAGUUCUCGAAAUGACCUGAAACUUCACGGAGAAUAUUUUUGGAAUUAAUAAAAAAUACUGGCGAAAGAAUCAAGGCCAGGGGGCCCACACCCUGUCCACGAGGGUGAGGGGCGCGCCUACCCCCCUGGGCGCGCCCCCUGCCUCGUGGGCCCAAUGGUGCUCCACCGGCCUCAACUCCAACUCUAUAUAUUCAGGUUCGGGGAGGAAAAAAUCAAGAAGAAGGAUUCAUCGCGUUUUACGAUACGGAGCCGCCGCCAAGCCCUAAUCUCUCUCGGGAGGGCUGAUCUGGAGUCCGUUCGGGGCUCCGGAGAGGGGAAUCCGUCGCCAUCGUCAUCAUCAACCUUCCUCCAUCACCAAUUUCAUGAUGCUCAUCGCCGUGCGUGAGUAAUUCCAUCGUAGGCUCGCUGGACGGUGAUGGGUUGGAUGAGAUUUACCAUGUAAUCGGGUUAGUUUUGUUAGGGUUUGAUCCCUAGUAUCCAUUAUGUUCUGAGAUUGAUGGUUCUAUGACUUUGCUAUGCUUAAUGCUUGUCACUAGGGCCCGAGUGCCAUGAUUUCAGAUCUGAACCUAUUAUGUUUUCAUGAAUACAUGUGAGUUCUUGAUCCUAUCUUGCAAGUCUAUAGUCACCUACUAUGUGUUCUGAUCCCGCAACCCCAAAGUGACAAUAAUCGGGACCACUACCGGUGAUGACCGUAGUUUGAGGAGUUCAUGUAUUCACUAAGUGUUAAUGCUUUGGUCCGGUACUCUAUUAAAAAGAUGCCUUAAUAUCCCUUCGUUUCCAAUAGGACUCCGCUGCCACGGGAGGGUAGGACAAAAGAUGUCAUGCAAGUUCUUUUCCAUAAGCACAUAUGACUAUAUUCGGAAUACAUGCCUACAUUACAUUGAUGAAUUGGAGCUAGUUCUGUGUCACCCUAUGUUAUAACUAUUGCAUGAGGAAUCACAUCCGGCAUAAUUCUCCAUCACCGAUCCAAUGUCUAUGAGCUUUUCACAUAUUGAUCUUUGCUUAGUUACUUUUCCGUUGCCACUGUUACAAUUACUACAAAGCUGCUACUAUUACUUUUGCCACCAUUACCGUUACUUCCAUACUACUUUGCUACUAAAUACUUCGCUGCAGAUACUAAGUUAUCCAGGUGUGGUUGAAUUGACAACUCAAUUGCUAAUACUUGAGAAUAUUCUUUGGCUCCCCUUGUGUUGAAUCAAUAAAUUUGGGUUGAAUACUCUACCCUCGAAAACUGUUGCGACCCCCUAUACUUGUGGGUUAUCUGUGCUCCACCGACCUCAACUCCAACUCUAUAUAUUCACAUUCAGGGAGAAAAAAAAUCAGAGAGAAGGAUUCAUCACGUUUUACGAUAUGGAGCCGCCGCCAAGCCCUAAUCUCUCUCGGGAGGGCUGAUCUGGAGUCCGUUUGGGGCUCUGGAGAGGGGAAUCCGUCGCCAUCGUCAUCAUCAACCUUCCUCCAUCACCAAUUUCAUGAUGCUCACCGCCGUGCGUGAGUAAUUCCAUCGUAGGCUUGCUGGGCGGUGAUGGGUUGGAUGAGAUUUACCAUGCAAUCGAGUUAGUUUUGUUAGGGUUUGAUCCCUAGUAUCCACUAUGUUCUGAGAUUGAUGUUGCUAUGACUUUGCUAUGCUUAAUGCUUGUCACUAGGGCCCGAGUGCCAUGAUUUCAGAUCUGAACCUAUUAUGUUUUCAUGAAUAUAUGUGAGUUCUUGAUCCCAUCUUGCAAGUCUAUAGUCACCUAUUAUGUGUUAUGAUCUGUUAACCCCGAAGUGACAAUAAUCGGGAUACUUACCGGUGAUGACCAUAGUUUGAGGAGUUCAUGUAUUCACUAAGUGUUAAUGCUUUGGUCUGGUACUCUAUUAAAAGGAGGCCUUAAUAUCCCUUAGUUUUCAAUAGGACCCCGCUGCCACGGGGGGGUAGGACAAAAGAUGUCAUGCAAGUUCUUUUCCAUAAGCACGUAUGACUAUAUUCGGAAUACAUGCCUACAUUACAUUGAUGAAUUGGAGCUAGUUCUGUGUCACCCUAUGUUAUAAAUAUGGCAUGAGGAAUCGCAUCCGGCAUAAUUCUCCAUCACCGAUCCAAUGCCUACGAGCUUUUCACAUAUUGUUCUUUGCUUAGUUACUUUACCGUUGCCACUGUUACAAUUACUACAAAGCUACUACUGUUACUUUUGCCAUUGUUACCGUUACUUCCAUACUACUUUGCUACUAAAUACUUUGCUGCAGAUAUUAAGUUAUCUAGGUGUGGUUGAAUUGACAACUCAGCUGCUAAUACUUGAGAAUAUUCUUUGGCUCCCCUUGUGUCGAAUCAAUAAAUGUGGGUUGAAUACUCUACCCUCGAAAACUGUUGUGAUCCCCUGUAAUUGUGGGUUAUCAACUAGCUAAUUGAUGCAUUAAUUGUUUUGGUAUGUACACAUAUUAACUCUCUUCUUUCUUCUUUUCUAGCCCUCCGGAUCGAGCCAAACUUCGGUAAUGAGACGAGGCCCGAAGAAAAAGUUGCGCCAGGAUGAAAGGUUCACGAUCACAGCAAUCAAGGGCGAUGGCCAACCGAUUGAACCCAACCGGACCAAGGAAGCAUUUUCUGCUCAGUGCGGGGUUCUUGUUAGGGACAUGAUCCCGAUCAGCAUCCACCAAUGGAAUAAGCCUAAGAGCGGAGACCCUCAAGUGUCUUAUGUCAAGGAUAGACAGAAAGAUGAUCUUUGGACCACAUUGAAGGCAAAUUUCACCCUACCGCCAGAGGAGGAUCCAGAUAAGCCAGUUAUAGAGCCAUUGGUCAAGGCUCAUGCUCUUAAGAAGAUGGCAGAUAUAUUCAGGAGGUGGAAGAAUGAGUUGAAAUCAACGUUUGUCGACAAAGGGAAGAAUCCAGAAUUCACCAGCCUAUUUGAGAAGAUAAGAGAUCACUGACCCGCAUUUGUGGCCCACAAGACAUCGGAGAAGAGUAAGAAGAUGUCAGCGACAAACAAGAUAAAUGCUGCAAAGAAGGAGCAUCACCAUCGCACGGGGUCAGGUGGCUACCUCAAAGCCCGGCCGUUGUGGGACAAGGCUGAGAAUGACCUGCUUGAUAAAGGGGUUGAACCAGAGACAUUGAACUGGCCAGACCGUUCAAGGACUUGGUUCUUCGGGGUUGGGGGAACCUUGGACCCUGAAACAGGGAAGUGCCGUUGGACGGACCAGCAACUGGAAAUACCUGUCAAGAAGCUUCAGAAGUAUAUCACCGCAGUGCAGCAAGGGACGUUCAUUCCCGACAGAGAGAACGACGAGCUCACACAGGCCCUCGGCAAUCCUGAGCACCCUGGACGAACACGAGGCACGGCAGGCUCCGUUGCGUGCAAGGUUGGGUUUCCCGGCGCAGGCGGUUACAAAACCCGUGAGAGGAAGAGGAAAGUGGAGCAGACCGAACUGCAGAAGCUGAAUGCAACUAUAAGAGCGCUAGAGGAACAGGCAUUUCACAGCCAGCGACCUGCCGGAGCUACCCCAGAAGCUACCCCGCCAUAUCAGCGGAAAGCUGCGUGGCUUCCACCGAGCUCCUUCAGCAGCCUAACUUCACGGAUCCCAGCUACCCCGUGGAUGAUAUCACGGAGGCUCAAGAUUUCCACCUUAUGGCACAAUGGCAGAACCUCAAAGUCAAGGCGGCUGUCGGCUCUGUUGCACCUCCUGAACCCGGCACAACUUUUCACUGCCUUCCGAUUCCACAAGGCUAUGCUGUUGUGUUGGUCGAUGAAAUAACGGAGGGAUUUGAGGAGCUCGAGCUUGACCACCCUACCGGUGAAGGGGAGACUCAGCUGGGUCUUGCUCUGAAGACUCCAUGUCUAUGGCGGAAGGAGCUCAUCAACCUUUCAAACUGGACACCUCCGCCUCCUCCACCUCCGACGACGAGUCAGGGCACUCCGCCUCCUCCUACGGCGAGUGAUCAAGGCACUCCGCCUCCUUCUCCGGCUGCUCCGACGCGUGGCGGCACUCCGCCUCCUUCUCCGUUUAGGUCGGCGCGUCCGAGCAGCCCGACUCCUCCCCCGCCUCGUCAGCAACAGCGGAAGACAGCCGCCGCCGCUCCGGCUGCUCCGGCGUGUCGUAGCACUCCGCCUCCUUCUUCUCCUCCUCGUAAGCAACGAAAGAAGACAGCCGCAGCCGCUCCGGCUGCUUCGGCGUCUAGCAGUACAGCCAGAGGCGGGAGGCAAUACAGAUUCGGUCCAUCUCUCAAGCCUCUAGAUAAGUUACCAUAUGAGAUGACCGAGGAGGAAAAUGCAGAGAUCUGUCAAGCUUGUGUGAAGGACUUUUUUGGAAAGAAACAUCCACCUCCGGAGGAGAAGAUAGAUCCAGUGAAAGUUCAGCGCACUUUGGAUGCCCUGAAGUGGCCACCACCUUCUCCGCCGCAAACCAACUAUGAUCGCAUUAUUGAAAGGUCAUAUAAGGAAGCGUCCCGGUUGGGAAGUACUUGCAGUGAUCGAAGGUUAGCAUAACGAAGAAGUGGGAAAAAAUUCCCCAGCUCGGCGAACAAGCGAACCAAUCGUGCCCCUCGCUCAAGGUGUCUAGCGAUAUCGUCGCUAAUCAUCCGGGGGUGGUGCCCCGUACCAAUCCUGGAGAUUACCUGCCCGACGAUGCACAUUUUGAUACAAUGGAGGUGGACGAAUUCAAAUACCAGCACGGGAAGCCUCUCGUCAAACCUGGUCAUCCUCCUCUAACAACGAUGAUGCGAAGAUCCCAUGAGUGGUACAUGGACACCUGCAGCAAGUCUGGGAAGGAUACUUUGACGCUGAGAGUUAGAGAGGAGCACAACCUCGUUGGAAUUGAUUUGUUGUCUGUUCCAUUUGAGGAGUUCUUCCAGUCUUUCAAUCAAAAGGCCCUCGAUAAAACAAUCGUCACUUGCUACUGUCUAUAAGUACUACUUUUGUAAUUAAGUCUCUAUAUAUAGCUCAGCUCUUUCAUUGCAUGUAUAUAUAAUUAUCCUCGCUAUAUGAUGCAGAUUGAAGAUCGUCAAAUGCAGAAAAGCACAAAUCUAUGAUAUUGGGUUCAUUAACACAAAUCUCAUAGAUGAAUGGACGGUUAAAUAUGAUGCCAAACAAACCGAGGCCAACUUGCUACGAUCGUUGCUUCAAAAUCAAAACAAAGAUAAAAUACUCUUUCCUUACAACUUCAAGUGAGUGUUACUGUCUUGUGCAUAUUAGGUUUCCCUUAUUACUCGAGGUUAUAGUAAUGUAAUUGAUGAGUUAUGCAUGUGUGCGCAGCUUCCACUUUAUUCUGCUAGAGAUUAAGCUUGAGCAGGGACUAGUAACCGUCAUAGACUCGAGACGAAAAGAUCUCGAGGAGUAUGCGGCCGUGACUAAAAUGCUCGAGAAGUAAGUUCAAUCGACCAUUAUCGCACCAUAUCGGCAACUUUGUUCAUUUCACAAGUAAUUGUUUUCUUUGUCUGGCAGGGUUUGGAAAGAGUUCAUCGCAGAAGCUCCGGGACUGCCGGGGGAGCUGCGAUUUACACACCCGAAAGUAAGUACUACUAGCUAGUUCCGCGCAUCCCCCAUUAAUUCUAGCUAGUUUCAUCAAUACCAUUUAGCAUGCUUGCUUAUCAGUUUGAGUGACCUCUAUUUCUUGUAAAGUGGUUGUGGCAGGAACCCGGGAAUAAUUACUGUGGAUACUACGUUUGCGAGUUCAUCCGCCACACGACCUCUGAGCGGGGCUACUCUAAAAAACAAUAUGAAGUGCGUAAGCAAUAAUAUUCACAAUUUUAUUUUAUUACCAUCAUUUGGGUUGAGUUUCAUUCAUAUAUAUGUAUUAACCCCCUUCUUCAAAUUAGAUGUUUCAGAUGCGGGAUGAACUCCUACCACAAGAUCGCAUACAAGCAAUUCAAGAGGGAUUGGCGGGAUUCUUUCUUGACCACAUCAUCAAUAAAGCCGGAGAAUACCAUGUGGAACUUGAGUUCAGAUGUUAGGGGAUUGUAAGAGAUCUUAUAUUGUAUAUAUGUAGCCAGUAGCGUCGGAUAGAUAUACGAAAACUUGUUGUUCGACCAAUCUCUCGGAGAAGGAGAGGUCGAUCACUUCUCUCUGUAUAUGUUCAUGACGAUCUUGUGUACUUAAUGGUUUCCUUCAUUUGCUUACUAGCUAGCGUGUCGAGUCCUCUCUAUACGUAUAGUACAGAGUGUCGACCAAGCACGGAGAUAAGAGAGGACACUUCUCUCUAUUAGCUAGCUAACACAAUAUAUGAAACCCCUAAAUUAACCCUACAAAACCCCCAAACCCCCUUAAAAAAACAAAAAACCCAACCCUGAACUGCUGACGCGUGGAUGCUUUUUGGUCCCUGUUGGUGCUACCAACCGGGACAAAAGGCCCUCUUGCCUAGGCAAGCCGCAGCGGCCACGUGGAGCCCCAUCUGUCCCGGUUCGUAGGAGAACCGGGACUAAAGGUAUUGGGCUAUAGUACCGACAUUUAGUCCCGGUUCUGGAACCGGGACAAAUUGGCCUCUGGAACCAGGACAAAUGGGCAUUUUUCUACUAUUGGUAGUGUGCUUGAGACCAAGAAUGCCCGUCCCUACAUAUUAUUGAGUCCGCUCCUAGCAUGCCUUUUCCAGUCAGUCUCCCCUCAUACCGCGAUUGAGGGAGACCAAUCUUCUUAAGGUUAGGAAGGAAGUCAACACAAAACCCAAUGACCUCCUCUGUUUGAUGGCCCGUGGAGAUGCUUCCUUCUGGCCUAGCACGGUUACAAACUCAUUUCUUUAAGACUCCCAUGAACUCUCAAAAGGGAACAUAUUGUGUAGAAAUAGACGGCCCAGAAUGGCAAUCUCGUCGACUAGAUGAGCUAGGACGUGCGUCAUGAUAUUGAAGAAGGAUGGUGGGAACACCAGCUCGAAACUGACAAGACAUUGCACCAGAUCACUCCUUAACCUUGGUAGGAUUUCUGGAUCGAUCACCUUCUGAGAGAUUGCAUUGAAGAAUGCACAUAGCUUCACAGUGGCUAAUCGACCGUUUUUCGGUAGAAGCCCCCUCAAUGCAACCGGAAGCAGUUGCGUCAUAAUCACGUGGCAGUCAUGAGACUUUAGGUUCUGAAACAUUUUCUCUGCUGGGGCGGCGGGUCUCGGGUGAGGCGGUGUCGAGGUCUUGGAUGCUGAGGCGGCGGUCCUGGUGGUGGUUGCGCGGUGCUCUUGGGCAGAGCCCGUGCCUUGGUGCUGCCCGGUUACCAUGGUCGUCUGGGCGGCGUGGUUGCCGGGGUGUGGCGUUCGGUGGCUGUGAAUGUUGGCCGAGGUGAAAACCUGCUCUAUCUUCGGACGGACCGGCGGUGGCGAAGAUCGUUCCCUUCCUGAACGUGUCGUCACGGCUCUCAUUACCCGUCAUGCGGCUCCGGGGGAAACUCUGAUCCUUGGAUCGGGCGGUGGCGACGCUCCGGCAUCGUAUCCUUCCUGAAGGCGCCGCCUUGGAGCGCAUGGUCCGUCAUAUGUAGCUUCAUCUCUUCGGGGCGGUAGUGCUAGGAGUGGUGUUGCUGCGCUCAGGGCCUAUGUAUCCUGUCCUGGGUGUGUGCGUGGGUUGCGGUGGCGUGGCAUGUGUUUGUACUGGAUGCUUGUGGUUUGAUGCUUUAUAUAUAAAGCGGGGCGAAAGCCUUUUUCGGUAAACAUUUUCUCUGCCAUAUUUAUUAUUCCCUUUAUAUUCGACGAGAAGCCAGACAGGACCUUCAUACUGAGCAGGCAUUCAAAGAAGAUUUCCUUCUCUUCUUUGGUAAGAGCAUAGCUGGCAGGACCAUCAUACUACUUUGGAGGCAUGCCGUCUUUUUCGUGCACACGUUGCUGGUCCUUCCGUGCCUCCGGUGUAUCUUUUGUCUUCCCAUACAUGCCCAAGAAGCCUAGCAGGUUCACGCAAAGAUUCUUCGUCAAGUGCAUCACGUCAAUUGCAGAGCGGACCUCUAGGUCUUUCCAGUAGGGUAUGUCCCAAAAUAUAGAUUUCUUCUUCCACAUGGGUGCGCGUCCCUCAGCGUCAUUCGAAACAGAUAGUCCGCCGGGACCCUUUCAAUAGCUUACAUGUAAAUCAUUGACCGUAGCAAGUAUGUGAUCACCAGUACGGACGGCGGGCUUCUUCCAGUGAUCUGCCUCGCCUUUGAAAUGCUUGCCUUUCUUUCGACAUUGAUGGUUGGUCGGAAGAAAUCGACGAUGCCCCAAGUACACAUUCUCCCUGCAUUUGUCCAAAUAUAUACAUUCGGUGUCAUCUAAACAGUGCGUGCAUGCAUGGUAUCCCUUAUUUGUCUGUCCUGAAAGGUUACUGAGAUCAGGCCAAUCAUUGAUGGUUACAAACAGCAACACAUGUAGGUCAAAUUCCUGCUGGUCUUGCUCAUCCCACACACAUACACCUUAUCCAUUCCACAGCUGUAAAAGUUCUUCAACUAAUGGCCUUAGGUACACAUCAAUGUCGUUGCCGGGUUGUUUAGGGCCUUGGAUGAGAACUGGCAUCAUAAUGAACUUUCGCUUCAUGCACAACCAAGGAGGAAGGUUAUAGAUACAUAGAGUCACGGGCCAGGUGCUAUGAUUGCUGCUCUGCUCCCCAAAAGGAUUAAUGCCAUCCGUGCUUAAACCAAACCAUAUGUUCCUUGCAUCACCUGCAAAGUCCCCCCACUUUCUCUCAAUUUUUCUCCACUGCGACCCGUCAGCGGGUGCUCUCAACCUCCCGACUUUCUUACGGUCCUCUUUGUGCCAUCGCAUCAACUUGGCAUGCUCUUUAUUUCUGAACAGACGUUUCAACCAUGGUAUUAUAGGAGCAUACCACAUCACCUUGGCAGGAACCCUCUUCCUGGGCCGCUCGCCGUCAACAUCACCAGGGUAAUCUCGUCUGAUCUUAUACCGCAAUGCACCGCAUACCGGGCAUGCGUUCAAAUCCUCGUACGCACCGCGGUAGAGGAUGCAGUCAUUAGGGCAUGCAUGUAUCUUCUGCACCUCCAAUUCUAGAGGGUAUAGAACCUUCUUUGCUCCAUACGUACUGUUGGGCAAUUCGUUAUCCUUUGGAAGCUUCAUCUUCAAUAUUUUCAGUAGCUUCUCAAAUCCGUUUUAAGAUACACCCACUACAAAAAAAUACACUUCCGUGAUGAUACGUGUAUGUCAUAGUAGGUCACGUUUUCUGUCAUGCAUGUACAUCCAUGACAAAUUUAUGACAGAAUCAAGAUAGUCAUACCUGUGCUGUCGUAGAAGUGUUCCAUGACAUUACCAAAAUUAUCAUCAUGGAAGUGUCCACUUCCAUGACGAUAAAUCGCGCGUCACAGAAGUGCUUUCGUCAAGGGUGACCGACACGUGGCAUCCACUGUAACGGAACGUCGUUAAGCUAUCGGGUCCAGUUUUGGAUUUGAUAACCCAUUAACAGCCCCGACCAAUGGGGAUUUUCCACGUGUAAAAUCAUCAUUGGCUGGAGGAAACACGUGUCGGCUCACCGUUGGGACAGAUGUCAUCCACUCAUUGGACCCAAAGCGCCUAUGAUACGUCGACACAUGGCACGGCCCAACAGAGGCCCAUAUAGGUUAAAAAGGUCGGCCCGCCCGUAGUACUUACUCAGGUACUAGUGGGCCAGCCCAAUAACGGCCUGCUUAAUAAAGGCCCAUUUACGGCCCGAAGCCAGAUCUGGCCCGUUAAUUGUUUGCCGAAUAUUUGGGCUCAUUUACGGCCCGAAGCCAGAUCUGGCCCGUUAAUUGUUCAUCGAAUAUUCAGGCCCAAUUACAUCCCAGUGACUUUUGGCCUAUUAGAGGCCCGAUGUAGACUUGGGCCCAUUUCAGCCCGGUGUGACUUUCGGCCUGGGAAUGGCCCGUGCUGCCCAUGGGCCAUAUAUGGUCCGACGGGACAUCGGGCCCACUAACGGCCCGUGAUAAAGGUGGCAAUAGUUAAGCCCAACGUGACUUUGGGCCUGUUAAAGGCCUGUCGCAUAAUUCCGCCCGUUGAUGUCUGUACUAAGCUUUCGGCCUCUUAAAGGCCCAUGAUAUCAGUGGGCCAACUAAGGCCCGAGAUAUGUUUCGGCCUGGUAACUGCCCGUGAUAUAACUGGGCCCAAAAAGGCCCGGUCUACAUUUCAGCAUGCUGAAGGCCCGUCAACGACUAGUGAAAAUUGAGGCCCAAUAUGCAUUUUGGCCUGCUAAAGGCCCAUGGUUUCAUCUGGGCCGUAACACCAGUACAAUAUUCAGCCUGUUAAUGGCCCAAUGCUACCUGGGCCAAACUAAGCACUGGGUCCACAAAAGGCCCAACUAAAAUAUAGGCCGGUGUAAGUUGUGGGCCUCGCGCAAAGUGUGAAGGCCCCAAUGAUUCGGGCACAAGAAAGAUGCAGGCCGACCCAAUUGUGGCCCGCUAAACACCAGGCCUGUUAGAGGCGAAUGUUUCGGCCCGGUCGACUACAUCUGAUUUUUUUCAGAUAGCGAAUGAUGGCAGUAACUAGUAGGAAUUAAGAACAAACCUACUCUAUACAAUAAAGAAAUUACGUCAUAGUAACUAAGAAUAAACCUACACUAUACAAUAAAGGAUUUAUGGUAUAUUACAUCCACUGGGCAUCGAAGUUCGCCACCAGUGAUCAUAACGCGCAACGAAGAAGCAGAUUACAAAAACUGGGCACCAUUGCAGCGUAACAAAAUAAUACUGAACCGAGACCACUUCCAAGACAGUUCAAGAAAGGUUAGCCUUGCGCGAGAACUGCUGCGCAAGCUGCUGAGCAAGGUUGUGAGACCGGCCUAGCAUGUCGGUCAUAGCUUCCAGGUGUAGCUGUUUAGCGAUGAGGUUCUCAUUGGUGUUCUCCGCAAUCUUUCUUAGAGAUAGGACUUCAAGUCGAAGUUGAGUUGCAGAAUGCCUUUCUGCUAGAACUUGGGACUGAAGAAGUCAAACUAAUUCAGACAACGAAUUGUGUGAGCUUGUUUGACUGCUAGUCUCAAGUAACUUGAACACUGCAUCAAGACGAGACUUUGGGGUUGUCUCGCUAUCUUCAAGAUGUUUUGCCUUCUUUGCUGCAAUAUAUGUUGGGUUUGUCUCACAGCCUUCUGCAGACUUGUGCAUGCCAUCAGGCAUAUCACCCUGAAACAAAGCAUAGAGAUGACAGGUUUUGCACGUGUAUAAACAAAGAUGAUAACUGUGCUGUCAAUUCCAUCCAAUUUCAAAUUAGAAAAUAAAGAGUAAGUUCAAAAUAUCAAUAGCAUAAUUUGGCAUUGUUCAUAAUGCGGGGAGCUUCACCACACUACUGGAUUAUCAUGUCAACAUAACAAGCAUAUAUGAAGGGCAAAGAAAAUCAUUGUAUCUAUUUUGGUUAAUGUGCAUGGCAUGUUGUUCAUAUCAUCAGCCACAUCAGUAAGAUAAAACAGGAGAUGACAAGGUGCAAACAUGGGCUGCUUCACCACACACUGGAUUAUAGAUCCACAAAAACAAGGAUACAUAUAGAGAGUAUUGAGUAAUGUGCAUGGUAUGAAUAAGGAAUUUGGUUUUACAAGUAAAACUUAGAACUUACGGUUCUUGCGAACAUGCAUUUUGGUAGAAACAGCCAACUAAACAGCAGUAAACGAUAGGGAGUAUGAGCAAAUUAAACAGCAGUUGAGGAUAAAGGCUUUAGAAGGAUUGACUUACAUUAACAGUUAACACCGGCUUUAUAAUGCCCUUCUCCAUGUCAAGGGAAGGAUAACUCAAGAAUUUCAGCACAGAAUCUUCUUCAUAAGCAUUGCCUGUACUCUACAUUUUGUAGAGAGUAAUUAUAGAUAUGAUAAUACUGGAAGGGAUAGAGGAUAAUGAAGAUAAGAUGCAGAUUGAUGCUACAUAAUCAACUACCAAUCCCCGAAAGUACAAGCAUUACAGGACAAAAUGCAUUGACAAGAGCAAUGGGCUACACUUCUGCACUGGCAUUGUCUGUGUAUUCUACUUUUUGGUAAGAUUGAAUAUAGAUCUGAUCUUUUUUAGUAAAUGGUGGGCGAGGGAUAUAAGAUGCAGAAUGCUACACAAUGAACCAAUCCCUCUUCCCAUAAUACAAGAGUGUUUUGAACACUGGUGGACUGUACAAAACGUUCUUAUAUUUUGGGACGGAGGGAAUAGUUGUUAAUGUAAGUACAGUGAUAGACGACGUUCAGUCCUUACAAGAGGACUGCAAAGCUAAACCUCUUCAAAAGCAUUGGGUUGAUUCUAAAUUUAUGUAAGAGUCCAUACGGAUCUUAUAAUGUCCACCAAAUGGACGAUAACGAGGCUAACAUGUGCAGUGAUGCUACAUAAUCAAACAGCUAUGAAAGUAAGUAUGGCCAUACGGGGCAAGAGGUACUCACAAGAGCAAUGCAGUGUGCAGUAUAGUUGCGAGAUUAUGUGGUCCCUUGAGAAUGAAUGUUCUUCUGCUAACAGUUUUUUUACAAGUGAGAUGUUAAGGCAAAUGCAGAAAUAUAGUUCAAAUUGUGAUGUGAUAUCAUAGAUAGUACCUUACGCUGCAGCCGAGACCAAUGUGUAACAAGAUUAUUCCAGUCACCGUCGGAUAAAUGUAGCACCGGAGACUUUACAGAAAAUUCAUUUAGAGGCUUGCCAUCGAAGUGCGCUUGCCUCAGGUAGGAACGAUACUUCAUCAACGAGUGCUUGAAAAGCGCAACCAACCCUUGCUCGUCUUCACAAUCCAGUUUGGUCCUCGCCUAUUUAAAAGAAUGAAAUCUUGUGUCUUCUGUCAGCAGAAACAUAUGCAGUAAUGACCAUGAAUAACAUUAGUACAUUACUUACGCGUAAGUUGCGGAGGAAGACUGGAAAUUGUUCUGUGUCUGCGGUAUAAUCUUUCCAUGAAGGAAAGAUGCGCACAAAGUUCCUGACAACAAUAUAAGCUUUGUCUUCUAAACUGGGAAGAAAUGGAAUAGGGGUCCUAUUUGCUGCAAUUGGGGCUCUCUCUGGUUCGAAAAGGGAUUUGGCAACUGGAUUUGGUGUACUCUUAGCUGGAAUGGGGGUUUUGCAUCGUAGAGCUGGUGCUAUGUCAACUAACAUAAUCAUAAUGUUUGCUGCAGUUGGGGUCUGCUGAGUUGGGGCAUCAGAAAUGACCAGUGUAGUAGGGCUAGAGUCUGCUAGAGUUGGGGUGUUUUGUGGGUCAGGUGAUAUUGCAACUACACCUAAUGGGCUAUUUGAUUUAUCAGGUGCCACUACCUUUUCCAAAUACUUUGCUUGUGCUCCUCCAUGAUCAUCAAUCGCCCUCUUCCUUUUGAACGUCUGAUACACAAGAACAUCAUUUGAAUGGAUAAAUAUGGUAUGAUGACAGAUGGAAUAUGUACUGAAAAUGGAUUGGCAGGGCGUAUUCACACACACGAUGUGUAAACUAAGCUAAUGGCAGUUCAACAAAGUAGAAGCAAUGCAAAGCAUCAGUUGCAAGAUAUGUGCGACAAAUAUAACCUUGGAAAGUUAGAGCAAGCACCUUGAUGGGUGAAUAAGAUAGCACAUCUUCCUCUGACUCCUCCACUAGGGAGCUACAUUGACUUAGGUCUCCCUCUAGCUCAGAAUCACUAUUAGGAUCAUAUUCUGAGCAUGAAUCUGUAGGUGGAGAGCGUUUGCAUUGCAUUGCAUCCAGACUUGAUUUCAGUCCCUUAAUGCCAAGUUUGACAGCCAUGGCAUUGUUCUGCUUUAUUCUUUUCAUGGGCGCAAGCUCAUAAUCAUUAUGAUGUUGUUCAGAAUCUGAGAUUCAUGAGAACAUAAAAAGAAGUCAGAUUAUCUAUGGAAUGCAUUGCAGAUUCAACUCGAAGAGUGUCUCCCUAUAAACCCCUGCAUAUGCAAAGUUCACCCCCCAACCGUGCUGACCAGACCACACACAGAAAUACAAACCCCUUAUGUCUCUAUAACAGGUAGACACACAUUUCAAAACUGAAGUAGGAACAUUAGAAUCAUAUGAAAUUCGUAUUUGAACAAAUAAACUAAGGAAUUAUGAGUGGCAUAAUGUUUAGCUUCAAGGGUGGAGUGUUGGUAGUGCGACACAAAGCAAGUAGGCAGAUUGUAUUCCAUGUAAAAGAUCGAAGCCUAUGUAAAAGCUGGAAAUGACACUUUCUUUCUAUACAAUGCAGUGUUCAUUGCCCACACAUGAUGGAAGAGAUCACAUAGAGAAAUACUAUUCACUCAUGUCUAUGGUUGCAGUAUUUAGAAACAGGGUGGUCCACCCUAAAAGAAUAUUGACAAAAAAUAUGACAAGGCAAGCAUAGAUGUAGUGAAUCAAUCAUUUACUUGUGAGCUUACUAGAACAAGUGUGCAGAAUUGUAAUUGCAGUAAGAGACUGUCCAAAAUUUGAAUCAAGAAGUUUGUCUAGCACUUAUUGUUUGCAACUAAUCGACGUGAAUAAUUUGAUAUUAUAUUUAAUGAGUAAGAAAGACAAGUAAAAUUGUCAACAAACCUGGCUUGCAGUAGUAAUCUGGGUCAAUGUCACUACGACCAACAACCAAAAUGACUAGUGUCUGUUCCUAGGGCCGGAAUUUUGAAAACCCUGUGAACUUUACAGGUACUAAAGAUUACCGAAAUACAUCUGAACCAUUAAGUGUAGGUAGCACUGAGCACAUAACAAACCCUAAUGACAAUCCUGCCUAAUGAGUAAUGAAUCAAUUAGAAAAUGGGUGAUGAGGAGUGGCUGCUGAGUGUUGAGGACUUAUCUCAGGAUAAAUCGGGUUGGCUUAGUGGGUGCUGCACGCCUGAGCCCUGAACGGACUGGGAAGGUAGGCACGGCGGCGCACCCGGGCAGCGGUGACGCUGUUGGGCGAGCGGCUCCUGACCUCCUGUUAGUCCAGCGUCUCCUCCUAGAGUCAUGCCGUCCGGGGACGGCAAGUCGCCGGCGAGGCAGGUGGCUGGGGGCGAGUAGAGAUCGGAAGUGCGCAGCAGAACAGAGGGGAAUCGGGGCCUGGGACGACCCAAAAUCCCUGGGUGGGCCAGCCCACCGUGGGCACCCUGUAGAGAUACACACCCGAGCGGCGAACAUGCAUUUUCGAAACUAAUUUAGGAACAUUUAGCUGACCAAUUAAACGAAUCUAUUUUAAUAAUAUCAGAUUCGUAUUUGAACAACUAAGCUUGUUUAGCUUGAUGGGUCAAGAAGUGCUAUUAUGACACGAAGCACAUAUUCUGAUCGUAUAGUGAUCAUAAAAGGGGGAAACCGGAGAAAUGAUAUUUAGCAGCCAUUGUUUGCUUCGAACUAAGAACUAAAUUCUAAGAGCUGAAAAGAAAGUAGAGUAACCAAGUUAAGAUCUAUUUUCUGGUUGAGAUCAAAAAGUUGAGGAGAUAUGAAGUACCACCUCUCUUGCGGUGCCGUGUAGGCAUCGGGGUGCGAUGGCUGUCGGUGGCGUUGAAGUAGAUCUGCGAUGAUAGACGGGUGCAUCGGGGGAUAAGUCCCGUUGCGGUGGAAGAGAAGGUCGUGUGAGCGGCCCCGGCAAAGAGAACGACGGCGCCGAUGAAGCGAGAGGACGUGAUGCAAGGCUCUUGGUCCGUCGCCGUGGAUGGAAAACGUCCAUCUCUAGCAGUGGACGACGCGGUCUUGGUAGGCGCUCCGGCAUGGUGGAGGACGGUGGCGAUGGAUGUGGUGGAGGACAUCGGUGAUGGAUGUGGUGGAGGACGGCGGCGAUGGAUGGGGUGGCGGACGAAGGCUGGUGUGGGGAUGGUGUUCUAGCGCGGACGGUGUAUGAAUGGGAAAAUGGAGGGAGAGGUACGGGAACCGUGUUUUUGGGACGCACCUAUUUGAAAUAUGGGAAAGUUACGAACUUAGCCCCCGUUUAAAAUUUGGACGUCUCAUCGGUUGGGGACACGACGGUAAUCUCGCAUCUCGCCAAUAUUUGCCCAGAGCGAUUUCGGCGAGGAGAGGGUGGUUAGUGCCCAUGGUUGGCGCCCAUGGUUGGCACCCACGGUGUAUGAACGGGGCUGACAGGUAGGGCGGUUGUGUCACGUCUGAGUGAAGUUACAAACUUGCCCCUAUUGAAAAUAUUUGCCUACAUCGAUUUCGGUCGAGUCGAGUUUGUUUUUCCGCCCAUCGUGUAUGAAUGGGGAAAUGGAGGGAGACACAGAGGUCUUUCGGACGAGCUUGAAUCAAAUGUGUUUUGCCGCCCAUGUUUGGCGCCCACCGUGUCGGAAUGGGCUCAGAGGCGGUCGUGUCACGUCUAAUUGAAGUUACUAUCCUACCCCUAUUUAGAGCAAUGGAAAUCGGGUCGAUGGAUUGUCCGUGUAAUGGGUAGACAGUAAUUUCCAUCUCCCAAACACUUGGCUUCGGGCAGCCGACGUGGGAGUGGACAUUUUGCCGCUUCUUUCAAAUUUUGGGACAAUGAGCGUCCACGUUUACCUUGGCAACUAAAUUCGAAUCCAUUUUGUAUUCCUAUACGAAUCUUUAUAAAUCAUUAUAUGUGUUUUUAUAUAUCUUCAAAAGGACGACAAAGAUGUAUUCCACUGUCAUAUAUGAAUAUGGUUUACAAAUGCCGAUACUCAAAUUCAGAAGCUAGAAUCCAGUUUAAGGUGCAUUCGAAUAUUUUGAACACUUCAUGUCCAACUGAAAUGUCACACGCAACAUAAUGUGUACUCCCAUUUAGAUAUGUACACAAGCGAUGUAUCAAGAUUCAAAUACCGAGUCAAUCAACCAAGAAUGUACAGAACUAACAGACAUAUAAACACUUAUAGAGUAUAUGGAUCAAUAAUAUCAACUAACAUACAUAAGCCAGGCCGCUGUACUUUUCUUUGCUACAACAACAUCCUUUUUUUAGCCAAGCUACUACAGCAUCUUGGCCCUUUCCGAUGCGUGCCACUCUUGGUCCAUCUAUACUACUAUUAUUGUUGAAUGCACAUUCAGCCCGAUUGGCAUAUUUGUAGGUCUGGCACAGCAAUCAAAAUGAAAUGUCUCCGAGUCUUAUCAAUUAAUACAGACUUGUGAUCAAAUAAAAUUACAAACCAAAAAAACAAAAAACAAUUAGUACAUGAUCUCUAAAACAAAUGGUUUGAUUGAUUACAUGAACAAACAACACAAAGGUUAUUCAGCGAUGGAAAGAACAUUUCACCUAUGAUUUACUAAUUGGGAAUUUAAUUUCCUUUUUUCCUUUAGGACCUUGACAAUGUGGUCAGUCUCAGCUUGCUUCGUUUUGAAAUCCACCAAAUAUUUAAUGGUUGUCUUGAGUACUACUACUGAUUGUGUUGUUUGCUUCCUCAACAUGUCAACUUCAUCUCCAAGUGCAGAAGCAGAAUCUCUUUCUACCACUAGUUUAGCCUCUAGAGCAUCAGCAGUUGGCAAUUCAUAAUGCACGAUUGGGCCGGUGCCACUACUGUGGGAUGAUACAACGUCCAUGGGGACCUCGCUCUUUGAUCUUGGGCUGACCUGUUUUGCCAUUAAAGUUCCCAUUGGAUUCAGAAAAGUUGAAGUUAGCAAAACAUCUCAACUGGGAGUUAUAACAGCAAACCAGUUAAACAAACAAGGAAUUAAAGAGUUUGAAUUCGAUGCUGAAAAGUAGUUAUUAACAUCAUUGUAACCCAUUGUUUCAGCAGCAAAGCAGUUAAACAAACAAGUAGCUAUUUAAGUUCAGGCAAACAGGUAAUUCUUAACAGUAAGUAUCAAACACAUAGAUAGGCGCAGUCUAUAAUAGGAUUAACAGGUUAUGGCAUAAUGUAAUCAGUAGCAAACUAAAUUAAGCCCAGCAACGUAAUUGAACAAUUUUGCAAUAAGUGGCUAACUAAAAUUCCGAGAAGCAGGUAACUGAACUUACGCUAGUUCUUUGUACAGGCACACUGCAACUCCUUUUUCGCUUACAAGGUUGUACGAAGGAGUCCAUGGCAUCAAUUGCUUGGAUACGCAGUCCCAAUACUUCUUUCUUCCCACACUGCACUGGUAAGUCGAAUGGUUAAUCUGGUAAGAUGGUGCGUCCUUGAUAUGUUAUAUGAGGUCGUGUAGUCAGACUAGUUGUAGCCACACACAUCACACUGGCUUUUACUGUAUAUUUCAUGCGAUAACUUUUGGCAUAUCGAGAUCUAAGCAAUCUACAAUAGGAUAAAAGACUGGCAUCCCUCACAUUAUUGGCGAACUCAGUUCAUGGAAACAAGCAAUUCAACCAUUCUGUGGGUAAAUCAAAAGCGCCACUGGAAUACUUUUCACUACCCCUAUCAUACAAGCAAAAAGGGGCGACACCACCAUAGGGGCUGGUAUGGGCGGCCGCCUUGGGUGGCCCGAAAGUGUGCACCUAGUUUGAGCCGUCCAGGUUGGCCCAGGCUAGUUUUGUUCGUCCCAACGCACGAGCAGGUAAUGUAAAAAAUGAAGAAAAAUGUUUCAAUUUGGAUAGGCCAAUAACAUAAGUGCAAGGCAGGCCCUAUAGCAGGCUCGCGGCCCAAACGAGCGCCUCCCAUAUCGAUCGACAGCAGGAAAAAUCCCAAUUCAUCCGCUCCAGCCUCCAGUCUGGUUCGCUCCUAACCUAGCCGCCGCUGGACAAACCGACACAACACUUCCUCGCGCCCUCGUUGGAGGGCGGUCGCCGGGCUUCAAGCGAACGGAAGGACAAGAAGAUGAAGAUCCAACCCUGGGUGUAGCCUGCGUGGGAGGCAGCGGCGGCAGCACGGGCAUGGCAUCGAGCUUGCGCAAACGGACAGUCGCAGCUUGCAAGAGUAGCAUGCGCAACGAGCAGGUACAUCACAUCCCUGAUUAUAUCUAAUUCAACUCUUCAAUUUCUGGCUAAUAGUUAAACCUGACGGUGUUGUAAAACUGCUUGUAUGUAGGGAAUCUAUGAGAAAAUGAAACCAAUUUCUACUUAUUUUAUAUAUCCCCCAAUCAAUACUGAACUGACUGAAUCUGAUGUAUCUAAUCAAGUUUCCGGUGCAAACAUCCAAGCUCAUGCUGUUCUUGAGCCUAAAGUGUCUAAUGAAUAGACUGCUAAUGAAGGACAUUUUACAUGCUCCUCGUGAUAAACAUAUAGUGUCUAAUGAGGCAUCUAAGGCAAGCAUUUUGCAAUCUCCCAUUGAAGAAUUUAGUGUCUAAUGAUGAUCUGCUAUGUUGAGAGAGACAUAGAGAUUUGCAGGCAUUGAUGACAAGCAAAUUAUAGUGCAUUUUCAUGGCUUGAGGAAACGUCGAGGCCAUCUACCUGAAAGUCCCCAUAUCAUGACAACGUAGCAUAAAUACUUUUCUAAUCUGUUGUUUGAAACUAUUGGCAUACUUGUGCAGGAUAGAUAUAUUGAUAUGCAGUUUGCGCACUGGUUAUAGGUGCAAUUACACUUCGAUAUUUUCAGCCAGAGAAUGAAUAAUUCAAGCAGGUACAUACCAUGUUUGUAGUCCUUGUACACCAUGUUGCAUUUUGUGUUUUUUGGUGCUUGCAUCAUUUAGUGUUUAUAAUCUGAACUACUUUGGAUCAUUAGUUGGUUUUCAAAGUGCAUGUAGCUUCACAUUUCUCAAGUUAUGUUGAUUUCCGGAGUGCAAGUGCCUUCGUAUUUUUUAAGUUAAAUGUUCGCCCCUGGUAACUUGAAUUCGUGGAUCCGCCACUGCACACAAAUCAUACACGAAUGCCAGUACGAAUUAAAUGAAAUGCAGGGACUUACGCUAGCUCAUUGUACAAGCUCACUGCAGCUCUGCUUGCGCUUGGGAUGUUCCAUGUACAAGUCCAUGUUACCACUUGCUUGGAUGUGCAGGCCUUGUGCUCCUUGCAUCCCCCUCUGCAUUUUUGACACGACGAAUGGCUGAUCAAAUAAGAGGAAUCAACCUUGCUGUUGUACCGGAGGACAAAUGCUUACAAGGUUAUACGGGUGUGCAGGAUGUGUACCAAAUCCCGUAGCGCCGUCAUGCUUCGCUAAAAAAUGGAAAUGCUUGUUUCAGAUGAUAUCUCUAGAAGAAAUAAGAGUUAAAGUCAGAGUUGGAUAGGCGUGUAAGCUAAGAGAGCAGUGAAAGGAUAUCCAAACAUCGUCGGAACAGUGCACAAGGGAGUGAUGUGUGGAUACCUAGUUCGGGCCGGCGUUUGGGCAUGCUCGCCUAGCUAGAGUGCGGGUCACUUCAGAGCCGUUGAGGGUGAUGCGCUGGCGUUGGCUGGCCGCGCACGGAUGCAGAUCUUGAGUGGCAGCGGAGCGCUACGAUGUGGUGGACGAGACCGUUGGUGAAGCCCCAGCGGCCUCGGGGGGCGGAGGCGCGACGAUGUGCUCGGUGAAGUAGCCCCGGUGAGCUGGGAGACGGCGUCGGUGAAGCGCACCUGAUGCGGUGGAAGUCGUUGUCUGUGAGGCACGUCGGUUGCGGCGGCCGACGUUGUCGGUGGAACACCCGGUGUGGUGGACGAGGGCGUAGAUGAGGUAGCUCCGGUGCGGUGGUGAAGCGCGACCGUCGUCUUCGUCGUCGUCGUCCAGCACAGAGGUGGGGAAAGAGACGAGACGAGGGGCGAUUCGAACUUUGCUUGGGUUGGCGGCGAAUUAGGGAUUUGAGCAAUCUGGGCGCGGAAGGGGACGGUGGAGAAGGGAGAUUUUGCAGGGCUGGAAUUGGGGCCGCCAGAUAUUUCAAUCCAAAACAUGGAAGCGCGAACUUAUUUUGUCGUCGUCCUUUUUUGGGGGGGAGGGGGAGGGAGGGAGGGGGGUGGGUGGCUGGGUGCUAAGCGUCCGUCCGACACACGCGACCACCACGACACGACCCUGGUCUGCCUGGUGCGCCUACAUUUGAGAAUGCAAACAAAUCUUCUUUCACUUGCAAACGAAUCUGUAUGUAUUACCAUGCCCGUGGUUUCCUUGCAAUAAUUACUCAUUCGAAACGAGAUACUAUAAAUUAAUUAAUGAGGAGUUAUUUGAAAAAAAAUCGAAACGGUAUCCACGCUAAUGUGGAUUAGAGUGUGUGUCACAUAAUUAGUUAUUUGAAUUAGAGUGUGUGUCACAUAGCGAUCUCCAAUUCUAACGUGGAUUUCGCAUUUCACUGUAUCCACGCUAGUUUUUUAAUACAAAUUCAUAUGUAUAUGAUGAACACCAUGGUAGUGAGAAAACUUCUGUGUGGAUUCAAACAUAUGACCUACAAAAUAGCACAACAAAUCGAGUCAAUGUCAACUUUUCGAAACCUAGUAUGGCACGAAUUCGAAAUAAUUACCCAUAUGCAUGGUCCUCAGUUCAAAUCUUACAAUGUACAUCGAAUUGAAACAUUGAUAUUAAGUCUCGUACUAUCUACAUUNNNNNNNNNNNNNNNNNNNNNNNNNNNNNNNNNNNNNNNNNNNNNNNNNNNNNNNNNNNNNNNNNNNNNNNNNNNNNNNNNNNNNNNNNNNNNNNNNNNNNNNNNNNNNNNNNNNNNNNNNNNNNNNNNNNNNNNNNNNNNNNNNNNNNNNNNNNNNNNNNNNNNNNNNNNNNNNNNUUCCUCUCCUAACCACCUUUGGAAGCUAUCGGUUUCCAACACACAUCCAUUCUUUCUCUCCAUGUUUCGAUCUCUAACUCUCUCAACUACACAACCCCCCUUUUCCACUCUGUUACGAAAUGUAUUUACCUCACACACCCGCCAUUGCACCCCAUGUCGAGCUCUCUCUCUCCCUCUCCCUCUCACCCUCUCGCGCUAAAUACAUGCAUUGCCUAUCUAGCCCCCCAACCUCUCGUGCGCACGCACGCACGUUGUCUAUCUAGGUCACUCCCUCGAGACUGUCUCACUCUUUCUUCCGCACGGCGGGCCACACUCGCUCAAUCUCGCUCUCUUUAUCUGAGUCUCGUUUAACCUCGUUUUCUUUCACACACAAAUGAUAUAUCUCCCUGUUCGGGCCUCGAUCGACACACUCUAUACUCUCUCACGCAGAUUGUCUAUCAAGGUCAGUCCAUCGAAGCCGCCCCCACUCUUUCGACCUCAUGGCGGGCCACGCUCUCUCUCUCUCUCUCCCUCUCUCUCUCUCUCUUUGUAUGUCUCGAUUGACCUCGCUCUUUCUCGGACAAAAACGAUAUAUCACCAUGUUUGAGCCCAAUUCGACUUAUUCACAUUGUAUACUCUCUCACGCACAUUGUCUAUCUAGGUCACUCUCUCCAACCCGUCUCACUCUUUCGAUCGCAGGACGACCCUAUGUGAUUGAUUGACCUUGCUUCCUCCCACGCACAAAAUAUAUCUACAUGUCUGUGACUGGAUCAUCUCUCAAGCUCUAUCUUACAGCCCUCACCUUGCCAAAAGCUCAAUCGGACAAUAUCUCUCCAGAGCAUAUAUAUUUGUUCAAUGAAUGUCGGACCACACUCACUUUGUCUCUCUAUCUAUAUGUCUCUCGAUUGACCUCGCUUUCUCACGCCGUAUCUUCCACACAUUGAAGCUACCUCUCCAUCCCUUGCAAAGCCGGAGCUAUUUACAUUGCGAGGGGCACUCCAACCUUGGAUUAAUUUGUGUAGGCAUUUAUUCCGGUCGGUUUAGAUUAUAUUUUCGUAGCAUUCGGCCCACAACUACUCGAAACACCGUUGCAACCCCCGCAACUCCCCUAGUUGAUUUCCCUCUGGCUCGGUCAUCGCUCUCUCGCACGUCCUUUCUCGCCUUCAACGUCACACCAUGGUAUUAUUGCAAAAAACUCUAUUAUUCUCUUUAAUUAUUAUAAAUAAGCUACAAAACUACACACCUAUAGUCCACUUGGAAUGGAACAAAUUUCGACCCACAAAUUAAAGUGCUACAAACUACACACCGAGGGGCCCACAUGUCAUGAAACAAAUUUGGACCCAUAUACAAAUUAAAAAAAAUAAAGGAUGAGGAUCGAACAUGCGACCAGGGCCUUCAAGCCGCACGUCAAUAGGCAACAUACGUAGAACAACAAUGUUUGUUGUACCUCCCUUUGUUCACAUAAUGUUUUUAUAUUACCACAACCUAUUUAAUUGAUAACAUGUAAUAUUAUUUUUAGUAAUACUCGCCUUCACUUACUGGUGGGUUCCAUGUGUGCUCUCUCUCUCUCCUCCCCUUCUGCAUUUAGACGCACAGGCAAACACGAAGAACUCAUGGGCGAUGUUGCCGUUGACCAUAUCUGGACGCGUUCACAAGUUACAGCACCAGUUUCACGUGCUAGCAGCACUAGUCAGUGUGUACGUGCAAUGCACGUUAAUUUGGAAGUAUAUUAAGUGUAUGCGGAUAUUAAGUACGAUAUUAUUUGCGUGUUAUUAUGUGAUUAGCACUAUUUUUGGCAUGAAAUUAACUGCACGCUAAACGUGUUGAGCGCUCGACAUUGAAGCAGUCUAGGUCGUUGGAUGACAAGGAAUACAUGUGGCUUGAUGACGUUUUAUAUUUAAUUUGAUACGGCUCUAGCAGAACAUUCAAUCGAUCAAAACAUAGAUUUCGUUCAGUCUGACUCCGACUUUAAAUUAUACGAUGAUCGAUCUAAAAUAAACGGAAAUGAUAAACGUUCAGAUUUUAAGCAUGGCAAUCCGAACGUUUUUCAUGGCAAAUUCAGAUUAAGCGGCGGCGGUGUCUUGCGGUGGGAAGCGGCUCCUCUGCCGUGCUUUGUGUGUCGUCGGGCCACUGACCGACGGCGACGGCGGCGCCUUGCGCCAUUAUUGGCGUACUCCUGGACGUUGGCCUAGCUUCAAGGAAGGCCAAAAUGUUCUGGACUUCAGAGCGAGUCAACUGGCGGAAGGAGGCGACUGGCGUUGGUGCAAGGAAGCGUUCGACGGCGGCCAUCCAUGCCGCUGAGGGGGGCACUAGCACCCGCGCGGGAACAGGCGCUAUCAACGGCACGGCGGAGACAUUCGUGUGCACGGGCACCGGCACGGGCGUGCAUGUCAGUGCACGUGCAGGCGCAUGCGCUGGCAGGUGCACAGGCACCGGCACCGGCGUGCGCGUCAGUGCACACGCAGGCGCAUGCGCUGGCCGGUGCACGGGCGCGUGAAAGUCGGCGGGGACCUCGUGGAACCCCGUGGCAUCAAGCUCGGCGACAAUGUGCGGCUCCCGGCCCAUCAAUGCCACGGGGAUGGGCGUUGGCACAGUCGGGGCGAUGAGAGCCGGAACGGGAGCGGGGACAGGCGCGGCGUCUUCCCGCAAGGCCAGUUCAAGCUCGUCCCAAAGCGCCUUAUGUUCUUGAGACUCCGGCUGGGUGUCUUCCUCAGGAAACUAGAAGACUAAGGGCAGACCAUCGUGAUGCGGCAUGGUGUACGCUUAGGUCAGGCUGGUUGGAGGUAGACGACAGGAGAAUCAGAGAGGAAGAGAGAAGAUUGUAGCGAUACCGGGUAGUGCGGGGUUGAUUUUAAACUGCGGCGCCGGCAACAUUAAAAGUUGGAGCAGUUGGGACGAAGGUGGGCGGCAGAGCCUGGUCAAAGGGCUCGCCUCCCGGUGAGCCUGCACAGCGGUCUGCUCGCACGCCUCCCUGUCAGCCGGCGCAAUGGUCUGCUCGCACGCCUCCCGUCGACUCACACGCUUGCUCGGACGGCACCUUCCGAUGAGAAGCGGGACUCGUGGCGGCACGCAAACGCUCACGGUUUCAAUAGUGAAAGCGUUCGCCUUAACGUGACAGGUCUUUGUUCCAAAAUUCCUUGGCUCUUCAUUUGUGCAACUUGUCAUAAGCAGCUUGUCUCAAAUUGAAGAAAAAAAUUACGAAGUAAUAUUUGUGCCAUAUCACGUGACCAUGCUCAGUUUCAAGAAUUUAUGGUCAUUUUUGGAUUUUCUGAAAUUUAAGAUCCAGGAUUCGAAACAAUAACAUAACCUGCAUCAUGCAAUAAAUUUUCAAGCCAUACAUCUGUCCUGUUGUAUUUCUUAAGAAAGGAUUUGGUCAAACAUUUUGCUUAGUUAGACUUCAAACAAGUUAUAUAUGCAGAGCAAAAGGAUAAUCCCUCCAUACCAGUGCAUUGCUGAUAUAUUAACUCAAGUACUAGGCACGUGCUCAUCCUGGUGUAGUAGUAGUAGUACUAGGCAAUGAAGUUGACGGGUGACCUUGGCGAGCGGCGACCGAGGGAAUUGAACCGUGCUCGGCACGGUAGGUAACGUUGUCUAGUUACUAAAGCAUCUCUCCGUUGUUCAUCGGUAGUCAUUAUGGACCGGGGACAUGAGGGGAAUUUCCUAGGGCUGGAAUUCUGGCCGCCAGAUAUUUCGACUCGAAACGCGGAGGCUCGACUGGUUGGGGUUUCCUAAUGUGCGUACCACGCACGCCACCAGAAGGACACAAGCCCGGUUUUUUUUUAUUUUUUUAGGAUCAACAUGAGCCAAGGUCUGGCUGGUACGCCGUUGGGUCCUACCAUUCGAGAAUACGAAAGGAACCUUUUAAAUUGCCGAACGAAUCUAUGUGUAUUACAAUGCCCGUAUUUUCCUUGCAAAUACUAAUCUCAACGUGGUAAUUGAUUUAUGACGAGUUGUUGAAUUAGAGUGAGUUUGUGAUAUAGUGAUCUCAACGUGGAUUUCACAUUUCAUGGUACCCCUGGUAAGUUUUUCAAUGCAAAUUCAAAUUUAAAAGAUGAAUAAUAUAGAGGUGAGAAAACUUUGUAUGUAUCAAGCAUAUGACCACACACACACAGAGACACCCACACAUGAACACAACAACAAUCCAAUAAGUAUAGUGCAUCUAUUUUUCCAAACCAUGCAUGUAUGACACGAAUUCAAAAAUACUCCUUCUGUUCCUAAAUAUUAGUCUUUUAGAGAUUUCAACAAGCGACUACAUACGGAGCAAAAUGAGUGAAUCUACACUCUAAAAUAUGUCUAUAUACAUCCGUAUGUGCCAGUCCACUUGAAAUCUCUAAAAAGACUAAUAUUUAGGAACGAAGGGAGUAAAAUGUAAGAUAUGCAUGGUCCUCAAUUCAAUAUUUAAAAAGAACAUGAAACUGAAGCAUGAAUAUUAAGUCUAGUACUACAGUACAUGCAAACGUUGUGUUUAAUUAGGCGGAGAUAUGAUUGUCGGAGGUCACCCCCUCGACCUUAGGUAAAAUUGUGAAGCUCUGUUUAGCGUUGUUUAGAUUAUAUUUGUCCCCACCCUCCCAACCACCGAUUGGUUGUGCACCCCCACCCCUCCUCCCCGGGAUAAUAUCAUGUGCCCCCAUACCUUAGAUGCUAUAUGCCGAUACGAGUUGCUUGGAGCUUGUAGAUCUGAGAUAUAGCAGCUCACAUGAUGUCUUAAUAUUUUUACAGGAAACCUUGAUGAGUUUGAGAAUUGCACACAAUUUGUACAAAAACUACUCAGAUGCGCUUGGAUCCCAUAUCCAACGACCCCGAAGCUCGUAUCACCGUAGCAUCUAAGAUGAAGGAGGACAUCAUAUUCUCCUAUAUGUAAGAAUAUCAUGUGCUACCACACCUUAGAUGCUUUGGUGAUACAAGCUCUUCGGAGCCAUUGGAUUUGUGACCCAACACCUCCUCGGUGGUUCGAAUGGUUUUUUGCAGAAAAGCCCCCAAAGAGUUCGGCCACUGCUUACAAGCACAAAGACUGCUCAGAUGCCAUUGGAUCUCAGAUCAAACGACCUCGAAGCUCGUAUCACCGUAGCAUACAAGCUGCAAGAGCACCUUCUGUUUUCUCACACGGGAGAAUAUGAGGUGCUCCCGCACCGUAGAUUCUAUGGUGAUACAAGUUCAUGGAGAUCUAACGGCCCACAGUAGGAGGUUUGAAUGUUUUUGCAAUAUACGGAUGAGAGAGUUUGGGAAUUGCGCAGAAAGUACAAGUACUACGCAUGUGCCAUCUGAUCACUGAUCAUACGACCUAGAUGCUCAUAUCACCGUAGCGGGUAAUUAAGCUACGGGGAGCACCUAAUAUGAGCAACGGGGAGCCGUUGGAUCCAAGAUGCAGUGGCACACACGAGGCCUGAAUGUUUUAUUUGCAAAAAAAACUUUGGAGAGUUUGGAAAUUGCGCAUAAUUACAAAGACUACUCCCAAGCCAUUGGAUCUCACUUCCAACGGUGUAAAAACUCGUAUCACCAUAGCAUCUAAGCUGCGGGGUGGAUGUGAUAUUCUAUGCCGCUGUCAUUUUUGUUCAUAAACUUGCAAAAUAUGUGUAACUUGUGCUGUUACUUGUCUAACCGCGCAAAGUGUUUGUUCAAAAAAACAUCCUACACUGAAAUAGCGGAACAACACACGGGGGUCCCACUUGUCAUUAAUCAAAUUUGGACCUAAAACUAACAAAUCUGAAAAACGAGAUUCGAACUAGCAACCUGGACUACAAAGCGUAAGUCGAUAGCCUGAAACAACAAUGGUUGUUGGCUUUGUCCCAUAACUUGAUUUUAUACAGUAUUACGUUGAGUAGAGUAGAGGGAGUGCCUAGUCAACACGUGCAUGACCGUUGACUCACUUACUGGUGGGUCCCAGGUCUGCGAUCUCUCUCUUCUCUCCAUCGUCUAACCUUUGCACAGGCACACACGAAGAGCGGCGCUAGCUUGCCAUGGUGUUAUUACAACUAAAAAAAUCUUGGAAAAUAGAAGAAUCGCCUAGAGCAAGAGACGUUGUGACUGGUCGAGACGGAGCUAAUCACACCUAUCCUCCGUACCAUGUUAGCAUGAUGAAGCUGUGUGGCUAGUGGGGUGCUUUCGACCGACUGGCUGGGUCCCGAGGUCGAACCAUAGGUACUACGUCUGAUACAGUAAAUUUUUACACGCACAUUUUUCCUCCGUGCCGAGACAUGGCACACCCUACCGCGCGGUUUCGGGGUCCUCCCGGGUGGUGCACGCAUAUAUUCUUCCUGACGUGGGAUGCCCUACCACGCGUUUUCGCCGAAGCAAGUAAAUGAGUCGUCAAAUCACGAAAGACCAAUUUUCCCGCCGAGUACAUCAGUGAAGCACGGUGGCUAGCUAGUUGGGCUAGUUCGACCGAUUAGCUAGGCCGCCGCCACAUUUGUUUUUUCACCCCUUUUUUUAUCUACUUGCCAGAAGGUAAAUUUAAAUGUCCACCGCGGCGUUGCUCUGGUGUUUGAGUGCGGCAGGAUUUUUAAUUUUUUGAUUGACGGGAGCAGGCGCGGUAGGAUUUUUAAUUUUUUUGAUUGACGGGUGCAGGCGCGGCAGCAAUUAGUCACGAUGACUCUGCCUGUAAAACCCACUGCUCCCUGAUGUGAGAAGUCAUCGACUGGUGUUUUACCAUGGUGAAAACCAAAAGAUUCCCCGCUCCUCGGCUGGCUCCCUCCGCCUUCCCGUAGAUUGCAUUGCCUUUCAGCCGUUUCGCCCCCUGCAUCACCAACGUCAUGCGCCUCGAGAAGCAGAGGGACUUCCGUGGUGUUUAGGCGCCCUCUGCAUGGGCAUGUCCAUGUCUCGGUGCAACAUGACUGUUGGAUCAAACUCAGACGGUGCAGAUUAGUCACUGUAGCACAAAGCGUGUGGGUGUGUUUGGUUGCAUUCUCAUCUCAAUAUAGUUGUUUCCUCUUCGUGCAUUUGUGUUAACCUACUAGUUUGGACUCAUGCACCCUUCAUGCACUCUGCCAAACACCCAAAAGUGGGUCGAGAAGGGAACUUUUGCUCCCAUCCCGUGCACCCUUCAUACACCCUGCCUAACACUAUUCGUGCUUCAUAUGGUUCAUGUUUCGUGGAGUACUGUAGCACCGUACUCUCCAUGCCCUGUAGACCUAGUUCUGUUAACAUUGAUCUCACCGUUCAUUCUCGACCGGACAGUCGAGAAAGCGGUAUUAUGUUACUACAUUACUGUUCAUAUAGUUGACAUGCGCACAACAUCAUUUGUUGUCAUCAUAUCUUACAACACUAGCAACAAGAUUAUGUAGUACUGACGUAUGAACCACUGCACAUGCCUAGUAGUAGGAGCACUGUGUAUGUUCAAGUGGCUGCCGUGUUUCGCACUCCUCCAUCGUAAGAGUGGAAACGCUUGCUGUAAUCAUUUUUUUCUUCAGAAAAACAGUGGACACACUCUACCGUGCGGAUCCUCCUCCAGCCAUGCACUAAAUUACUCACUUUCGCCGAUGUGUGGGACAGCCAGCAUCGGGGUCCACCAGCCAUGCACUAAAUUGCUCCAUAGUAGAGUGACGGUAGACUACCCCAAUCGAAGCGCCGCAGUAAUGCCCAAUGAGCCAUCAAAUCACAAAACCCCCUCCUUUCCAGCAAUAAGUUGGACGGACGAAGCAACCAUCAUUUCACUCUUCUCUCUCAGCUUCCUCUCUACCCAACUCGCUUCUCCCUCAUCUUGUUCCUCAUUUCUUCAAGAAAACCCCGACCUGCUUCUGCCAUUGUUCUUCUCUCCCAAAGAAGGAAAGGCGAGCGCAUCAAUGGUGUUGAUUCUGGCCAAGGCCCGGUCUUGCAAACCCGAGACUGAUCCUAUAACUCCCUCUCUUUUCAUCUUUUGGGUUUGUGAUUAUGGUUUCUUUUCUUUUAUUUCUAUUUGACAGUUUCUUGAUGGACGCUGGAGCACCGGCCGAAGUGAUGUCUAUGGCUCUGGCCCAAACUGUCGAGGCUCAUGGUACGAAGGAGCGCAAGCACAUCACCGAGACUACCGCAGACAAGCUCAAAGCCAUCGCCCUGUCCAAGCCCCCCUCUCCUGGAUCCCUCAUUAAGCAAGUCCAGGUAAUAUCUCUUCUUGACGAUCUUUUUCUCGAUCUUGAUCGUGUUUUUUCAUCUAACACGCAGUACUAGUACUAGUAGUACAACUUUCUGGGUGAUCUUGCAUGUGAUUUUUGUGUGCCAAAUGACGGUUCUAAAUUCCUCUUUUGACCAAAACAUGCGAGAGGUUGACACUGAUUUCUUAUAGAUUACUUUCAACUACUCCCUCUGUCCCAAAUUUCUUGUCUUAGAUUUGUCUAGAUACGGUUGUAUCUAAUACUAAAAUGUGACUUGAUACAUCCGUAUCUAGACAAAUCUAAGACAAGAAUUUUGGGACGGAGGGAGUACUUUAUGAACAUCAAUGCUACCUUUGAAGAGGGUAUAUUUGCCUCGGUAACUUGUGUUAUGGAUAUUGCAAGUAAUCCCUCUGCUCUCAUGCCUUUGAAGACAUGUUCUAGUGUCUUUGUUCACUCAUUUCUAUGCGUAUAUGUAGUCAUAUAUGGAUUAUAAUAUCGAAAAUCAUCUUAUAUUUCUGAACGGAGGUAGUAAUAAAAUAUGGUUUCUGUUUGAAUUAGAACCAGGUCCGCGGUGGAGAUGAAGUUCUCAAAGUCAUGCCGUGUGAACUGGAAGACCUGAGGAUGAGUUCUACUGCUAAACUAUCCAGCUGUUGUGUCCUUGUCGCCACGUGUCCUGAACUAGUGUUUUCCUGUAGCAUUGUUGUCAGGUGUGUUCUCGAGGCUGUACUUGACCACAACAAUUUCCUGGUUGUGCCUUUGAUUACGAAGGGUGUGGUUCUUGUAAAGCUUCCCAACAAAUCUGAUGCGACCUAUCUUCAUGAUCAUGUUUAUGAGUGGAAAGACCACUCUGUUAUGUUCUCCAAGGUUGACGAGAUGGUGAUGGUGCUUGUAGACAUCUCUCACGAAGUCCAUGGCCUAGUCAGUUAUGCGGGGUUCAUCCCGUAGGUCUGUGGCAAGAAAUAGUCUGCAGAGUUUAAUUAGUGCAACUUUGCUUGUCUGUAGUAAGUACUAUUGUUCAGUACUUGAUUUUUGUUUGUGAACCCUGUAUUGUUUAUUAGUACUGCCGCUUUUGGUGUGUGGUCAGUCCUGAGAACGGUCUAUGUUAAUGUCUAUCCACUCAAUUCAGUCUGUAUAUUUUGAAGUAUCCAGAUCAUCUUUUUUGUGAGGACGGUUUAUCAAUUAUGGUUACACUCCAAUAUCUGUAUGCAUUGCAGGGUUUAUCGCACCCACCAGGAUUUCCAGUCCCAUGGAUGUUCGGUCCAUAUGACUUUACACGACCUUUGGACUGUCCUGCUUGUGGUAGUAGGCGGGGCCCCUGCAUGCCACCCGUAGUUGGACGAUCAAUCUUCUGUUUAGUACUUCAACAUAGUGAUUUCCUCGUAAGGAUUCACUCGUGUCACAUCAAGUAAAUCCUAUUGAUUUAUUGUCUAAAUCUUAUUGAUUUAAUGUCAUGUUUUCUUUCUUUUCCUGCAAUUUUACGAUGCAGGUCUUGCCAUGUGACAUUCAUCACAGAAUAAACCGUUUGGUUUGCUCUACGAUGGCUAUUUUUGCAGGUUUCACUUCUUAUGUCGUGUCAGUAACGAAGGCACAAUCCAUCACUUAUAUUACUGGAAAAGAUUGGAUCAGUCUGUUGUCUGAGUACAAGCUGCAUCCCUAUGAUGAACUGCAGUUUGGUUUAACAAAAACGCCACAAUUAGUCCUUCUCGUGUUUAAAAGAAAUGAAGAAAAAAAACUAGAUCACGGUCACGAAGCCUAGUCAAGUUAGAAAGCUGAUCAUAGCAGACCAGACACGAUCGCCGCUGUCUCGCACAUCGGUACCACCUUCAGCAACGGAUCGAGCACCGGUAGUUGCUCUAGCACUGACAGCGGCAGCAGCUCAGUCUGAUCCAGCUAAGGAUUGGGCACCGACCGCGUCAGCGGAUCAGGCUAAUCUACCGGAGGAUCGGGCAUCGACACCGGCACCAGCUCUACAAGGAGCACCAUCUCCGGCAGCAAAUGCGGCUUCGGCACCUGCACCAACACUUGCACUUGCAUCUGCUCCGGCCCGUGCAGCGGCAACCGAACAAGCAGUUGCACCGGCAAUAGACUGGGCUGCAGUUCGCACUUCAUAUACCAAAGUCCUUACAAAAACCGACAUGUCCACCUUCUUGGUAAGCAUUGGCCGCCAAAGUGUUUCGUUAUUUUUUCUUUCCAUGUUGUUUCGCAUGAUUCACUGUGUUGAUCUAACUGUUUGGGUAUGUCUUCUUGUUUGCAAACAGAGAAUUCCUAGAGUAACGAGGGAGUUGUUCAACAAUCCGGGCGACAGCGGCCAAGUUUCUCUUACCAUGCGCAGCCUUGGUGUGAAUGAACCUGCUCAAUAUACCGUAAGUACAAAGGAUGGUUGCAUGAUGAUUGAUGCUAAAGGAUGGUCAAGGUUCAAAUCUAAAUCAUAUCUUGCGGUAGGGGAUGAUCUCAAAAUCUAACUUUCUCGGCAAGGAGAGCUGGUCCAAAUCAACUUUGAAAUUCUUUAGUAGCAGCACGCAACUGCCGAACUGAUCUAUCCUCUGAGAGAUUUUGAUGUAAUAAUCUGGCAUGGUGAAAAAAGUGUCAUGUGUGUAUAAGUAAUAUGACAGUAUUAUUUAUCACAUGGUAUAUCGUUGAUAGAAUUGCAACUCUCACUGCUGGUUAGGAACUGUCGUUUGAUUUCAUUCCAACAGCUGUCGUGCUUUAUUCAAUUUUGUAUAUUCGCCUUGCGACAGGAUCUAAAACCAGCGCCGUACCGAUCGCUUGCAAUAUGAAAAGCGCUGAGGUAGAACACAUGGGCCCCCAAACAUGCAGGGUGGGCCUGCGGCCCAAAGUCCAGAACUGUGAGCCAGUCCGAGAAUUAUAUUCUCAGCUGAACCCCCAUAAUGCCUGUGCAUUGCACAUAACAUCAAGAUGCAUUUGUAUGAGUAUUUUAUCUUGUGAGAGAAAAGGAUGAACGAGGGAAGGCCUUAUUUGCAAAUGUGGAGAGGUGUGUGGGUACCUUUUUGCAAAAUUGCCAUAGUUUCCUUCCUAUCCGUCAAAUAUAUAUCAGAUGGCCUAUAUUGCAGGAUGGGAGGCACACCAUCAUCACCAACUCGUCUAUACUGUGUUAAAAACAACUCUGUUUUUAUAAUUAUAUAUGUUAUAUAUAUUCCCCUUGAUUUUUCUUAUGUAUAAAGUUGUGCUAUAAAAGAUUUGUAUAUUUCUUUACAGAGGGAGUAUCUCUCUGUCAAAAAUAUAUUUUUGUGUAACUAGUUACUCCUGUCUUUCUACUUCCUUUCGCUGAUAUGUGGGGCAUCCGGCAACGGGGUCAAGUGCCAUAUGCACAAAUUAGAGUGCACAACUGCACGGUAGACACACCCCGGUCGUAGCGCUGCAGUAAUGCCCAAUGAGCCAUCAAAUCACAACCCCCCUUCCAGAUUUAGCAGUAAGCUGGACGGACGAAGCGGCAAUAUUUCACUGGGCCUGAAUCCCCUUCUCCCCCGUCUACUUGUUCAGAGAAAACCCCCUCUCGGCGAUUGCAUAGGGUUUUCUCAUGGAGAACCAGGUACGAAUUCUUCAUCCAUCCCCGAUAAAUCCAAGUCCCUUGGUCGCGGGUAAUCCUAGGAUGGCAGCCGCCGCCGUUGAUGCAUUUUUCUUCCUACUGAAUCUAGUGUGUUUCAUUUGUAGUGCCCAAAGUGCGAGGACCCUACAUGUUUCUGCGCCCUCGGCGAGACGCCACACUUGUUCCUUCUCAUCCUAACACAGUAUGUUCCUAGAAUCCUCUUUUCUAUCCGGGAGGGUGGGGUUUUUUUGAACAUGUUGUCGACUAAUUUGGAAAUUUGGAUUGCUAUAUUUGGAUAAAAGGUACUACCAGUACGAUGGUCAACACUGACAUGAAGGAGGAAGUUAUUUCUAGAUUUGGAUAGGGAAUACAUUGUGUUCUCAUAUUAUUUUUCCUGCAGUGCCUUAUUUGCUCUGCCAGAACACAUGUACUCAAGAUGCUCGGCCUUGCCAUAACUGAAUACACCAGUUUAAUGGUCACAGUGAAGACAAGCCAUGGAUAUAAGUUCCGAGUUGGGUUCAUGAACCAAGAAGAUCACUGCUUUUUUAUGGCCGAACUUGGAUAAACUUUCUCAAGUGUUACGGACUGAAAGUUGGCGCACGAAUGUUGAUGGAAAUAGCAGAACCUGGUCUCAUCUUCACUGCGAUCUUCCACCCCGACGUCGUUCCAAUUGUUCAUCCAUGUUAGUUUUGUAUCUGGUUCUUGCUUAUUGCCUCGAUUACUCCUUAAUCCACCUAUUCUGUCUAACUAAUCACAAUUUAACUUUAGAAGUAGCAACAAAUCUCUCACGAAGAUGCUACUUCUAACUAAUAUUUUCUUAUAAUUGGUGGCACGUGUAGGUUUUUUCAGAGUUAAGCACGCUGCUCGUUUGUUAUUCUGUAACAACUCGGCUGUUACUGAUGGCACUGAAGUUGACUGGGACGACAUCCACAAGUUCCUACACUUUAUUGAUCGUCUUGAGGUCCUUGUGGGGCGUUUCAAUGGUGGAAGGCCACGUGAGAUAUGUGUGCCACUGCUGCACUCGUUGAACAGGUCCAACUGUGUCGAGAAACUUAUGGUACGAGCUGUUUUCUGUUAUAUAUGUUGUUCAUAAACUAUUGCUUAUACACAGUUUUACAGCUGUGAUCUUCUUGAAACAGGAAAUGCCCAGUUCUAUUGUUCCUAUACAGAUGCCUGACCAUGGUCGGGUCAGACUUGCGCUUGGUCACAACAUGAUGUUUAUGUCGACCUACUCCAUUCCUCUUGGAGGUGAAAAGAUACUUAUUCAUGGGUGGUCUCAAAUAAUGAAGGCCCGUCCACCUUGGAGAAUAGGACAGAAGAUUAUGUUCCUGCUUUUCCAUGGCUCUAAAGCGAAUAUCCUGUUUAUUGACCACAUUGCGAGAUGAAGCCGCUUUCAGAAGGUUGUGGAUGCGUGGGGUGGCGCCUGGGCCUUGUCCUGGGGCUUGGCGGCCUCACCCUUGGUUGUAGGCAAAGUAGCACUGUUCGAGGCGUGCUUUGUACGGUUGAACCUAUAUAAGUACUCAUACUGCUUUCAGCUAUGGUUGUUAAGUGCCCCUGCUGGUUUCAGUUAAGGUUGUUAAGUACUCCUGCUGCUUUUACAGUCUGUCGUCUUUCUUCAGUCCUGUCUUCCUCCAGCCGCCAAAACCAAACCAGCGCCGGCGGGGCCACCUGCUUCCGCCUCCCAUGGCUGGCUGUGCCUCAGCGCACGCAUCGCCGCCCCACCGUCUCCUAAAUCGUUAACGCCGACGUCCGAGGCCUCGCCGUCGUCCUCCGCGCGCUUUGGUGCGCUCGCCGCAGCGCCGCCCUCUCGCGUUGUCAACAUGGUCAACAAACAACAGGAAUCGGUAGAAGUACGUGGAGAGGAUGACAGUACGGGCCCACCAUGUGAGCGUAUGGAAAAAUAAAAUGCUUCCUCCUAGUGUUUUCCUGACAUCUGAGACCCACGACAUUGUGAGCGUAUAUAGUCAAUAGACAAGAGAACAGCACAAGAUCGGCUAACACCUGGGACGUAGCUGCUCGAGCAGUACUUUUUUUUGUUAUUGUUGAGACGGAGCAGGGUUUGAACUGGGCUGUGGCCCGUCUAGCCCAGGCUUAUAUUUUAUGUUCACCAUGUGACCAGCCCAGCUAUUUUUUCUUUGUGAAAAUGAGCCCAGUUUAUUUUUUCUGAAGAAUACCCAAUCCAGGCCUACUUAUUUUUCUACGCCCUGAUGGGCUGCAACUCUUUCAAGACGCCUGAAAAUCUUGAAAGUAAUAUGAAAUGGGUUGUAAAUAUAAAAACAGAUGACAAAUUGGCAAUUACUUUAUAAUUUCUGAAUUUUUUCACAUUUUCAGAUUCCUAUUUCACUGGGCAUUAACCUAAUUUAAAUAUAUCUUCAAAGUACUUUAAAUCUGGCUCGACAUUUCGGUAUUAAAAAUAGUUUGGAACCCACAGAAAUAUGCAAAAUUGGCCCUGGCCAACCAAAAAAGGGACUGCAAUAAAUUGCAUAAGAAGUCACAGUGAGCUAUAUAUAAAUUAUUAAAAAAAAGGAACGGUCUGACUUAUGGGCCUAUUAAGUUGACGCGUAUGCAUGAUUUUUUAGUUAUUAUAUACGUCAACAAACGAUUCCAGCAGACGUAACCGUUGGAUGUCAAUCCAACGGCCGUUGUGUUUCUUCAAUCUCUGAUCUUCUUGCUCCAGCCGCCAAAUCCAGCGCCGGCGGGACUGCCUGCUCCCGCCUCCCGUGUAGGCCUCACCGCCCCCUACUACUCCCACCGCUGGCCAGGGCAUCCCUCUACUCACCCACACCCCCUGUUAUUAUGCGACGACGGCAGCCUCACACCGCAACCGAACCAGUGAACCCUCGUACUCCUCUCCGCGUGGGCAUCCACUACCGCGUCUUCCCCGGCUACGCGUCGUCCCCUUCCUAGGCCUCGCCAUCAUCCACCGCCCUGGUGCUCUCAGCACGGCGUGGUCAAUGUGGUCAAGGAACGACUUCCAUCGGAAGAGCACUAUCGUGGAGAGGCUGACAGCUGGGUCCACGGCAGCCGCAAGGAAGUGCCUCCUUAUUACACGGAAAAUAAUUAUUCCUCCACCUGACAGCAGGGACCCACCGGACGGGCCAUCGUAUUUGGCGAAAAAAACGUUUUCCCCCUGACUGCUGGGACCCACCGGACGGGCCACCGUAUUUCGUGAAAAAAAUGUUCCCCCUGCUGUCAGCUCGGACCCACCGGAAGUACCUCCAUAUUACGCACAAAAAAAUGAAUACUCCCCCUGCUAGUUGGGACCCACCUUGGUGGGAGGCUGACUUGUGGGCCUACUAAGUUGACGGGGACAGAGUGCUUUGUCAACUUAGUCAAUAUGAACGAUUCUAGCUCCAGUGAUCGUACGAUGUCUAUCUGAUGGUCGUAGUGCUUCUUCAACCUCUGGUCUUCUUGCUCCAGCCGCCCAAAGCAGCGCCGGUCGUGUCGCAUGCUCCUGCCUCCCGUCGCCGGUUGUGAUGCCGCGGAGGCCUACCCGCCCCCUACUACUCCCACCGCUGGCCAGGUCAUCCCUCUACUCACCCACACCCCCUGUUAUUCUGCGGCGAUGGCAGCCUCACACCGCAGUCGAACCAGUGAACCCUCGUACUCCUCUCCGCAUGGGCAUCCACUGCCGCGUCUUCCUUGGCUUCGCGUCGUCCCCUUUCUAGGCCUCGCCGUCGUCCACCGCCUUCGUGCUCUCGGCGCGGCGUGGUCAAUGUGGUCAACGACCGACUUCCAUCGGAAGAGUACUGUACGUGGAGAGGCUGACAGCUGGGUCCACGGCAGCCGCAAGGAAGUGCCUCCUUAUUACGCGGAAAAUAAUUAUUCCUGCACCUGACAGCGGGGACCCACCGGACGGGCCAUCGUAUUUCGUGAAAAAAACGUUUCCCCCCGGACUGCUGGGACCUACCAGCUACAUCUUCGCACGCAAGGAAGUGCGUCCGGGCAAAAAAUAACGAUUCGCCCCCUGACUGCUGGGACCCACCAGCUACAUCUUCGCACGCAAGGAAGUGCCUGACAGUCGGGACCCACCUGGUCGAAGCGUACGUAGCGUUGUCAUUCUGGUCGCGAACGUGUACGUACAUACUGGUCGAUGUAGAGGCGCGCACGUGUCGUAGUAGAGGCGCGCACGUAGCAUGUACACGUACGUACAGCGGCCAGGGUGCAAGAAAGUAAAUGCGGCCACGUACGUACAUACGGGCGGGGUUUCGAACGCCUACUCGCGCGUACGUACGGCCAGGGCUCGUGUACAUGGCUUGGUCGGAACGGAGAAACUGCGUCGUCGUCGUGUUCAUGGGGAGGCAACGGAAUGCGUCGUGUUCAUCGGGAGGCAACAGAACGCGUAGGAGCCAACCGGCUUGGACGGAACAGCCGAUGGAAACGAGGCCUGGCGUACCGCAGAAGGGAGGAAACGGCCUUGUGUUCGACCGGCCACAUUCGAAACGGGAUCCUGUUCAUCAGGAGGGGUCUGGCGUACCGCAAACCAGAGGAAACGGACCUCCUACGGUCGAAACGGGGGUCCUGUUGAUAGGGAAGGGUGUGGUGUACCGCAAAAUGGCGGAAACGGACUUGUGUUGGAGCGCUACGGUCGAAACGGGGGUCCUGUUCAUCGGGAGGGGUGUGGCGUACCACAAAACGGGACUCCUCGGGAUACUGUUCAUCUCCACCGUCGACCCCCUCCAGCCUCCACGGGCUACUGUUCAUCCACCGUCGAACUCCUCCAGCCUCCACCUGCGACCGUUCAUCCACGGGCUCCUGUUCAUCCAGCCUCCACCGCGCGCUACUCCACCGGCUAUUGUUCAACCAGCCCUCUCCACGGGCUCCUGUUCAACCACCCCUCCACGGGCUACUGUUCAUCCAGCCCCCCACCGUCUACUGUUCAUCCAACCCUCCGCGGGGUGGUCCUGUUCAUCCAGCCCUCCACGGGGUCCUGUUCAUCCAGCCCCAACCGGCUCGAUCGGUCGGGGUCCUGUUCAUCCAGAGGCAACACCACGGGGCCCUUUUCAUCCACCCCCACNNNNNNNNNNNNNNNNNNNNNNNNNNNNNNNNNNNNNNNNNNNNNNNNNNNNNNNNNNNNNNNNNNNNNNNNNNNNNNNNNNNNNNNNNNNNNNNNNNNNNNNNNNNNNNNNNNNNNNNNNNNNNNNNNNNNNNNNNNNNNNNNNNNNNNNNNNNNNNNNNNNNNNNNNNNNNNNNNNNNNNNNNNNNNNNNNNNNNNNNNNNNNNNNNNNNNNNNNNNNNNNNNNNNNNNNNNNNNNNNNNNNNNNNGUAGUAUCGAUCAGCUUCAGUUAGCAGCAGUAUCGAAGGAAUCGCUCGAUCUGGUUUAGUUAACAGCCAUCGAUCGAUCGCUCGGGUUCAGUAAGCGUAGCCUGCAGUGCAAUCGCUCGGGUUCAGUUAGAGCCCAACGCCUCGCACCCACGUGCGUGCGUGUACGAGAUAAACGCGUAUCGCUCGGCACCGACCACCCACCGUAACCGGGAACACCCCGAUAUUUUCCUCGCCCUCGCUUCUACCACGGUUUUUUCCGUCAUGGACGGCCCAAAGAAUGUCAUGCAGCUGCGUCUCCGGCCUGCCCAGGACGAAAAGGCCAUUUCUGUCAUGAUUUUUGGUCAUAGAAGUAGGACCCCACCAUAUCUAUGAUGAUACCGGGUUUGUCACAAUUAUCAUCAUAGAAGUGUCAUAAGUAUGACAAAAAAAAAUUCGUUCGGCCCAAAAUGUCAUGGAUGUGUCUUUUUUUUGUAGUGACCAUUGUUUGCCUUCCACUGCAGCAAUUCCAGUGUGGUACCGAGCUUUGUGUUGCCAUCUUCGCAAUUUGGGUACAACCCUUUUUUGUGAUCCUCUAACAUGCGAUCGAACUUCAACUUCUCCUUUUCACUUUCGCAUUGCCUCUUUGCAUCAACAAUGACCCGGCGAAGAUCAUCGGGCACAUCGUCUGGUUCCUCUUGAUCUUCAGCUUCCCCCAUUGCAGCAUCACUGUAUUCAGGGGGCACAUAGUUGUCAUCAUCCUCUUCUUCUUCGUUGUUUUCCAUCAUAACCCCUCUUUCUCCGAGCUUGGUCCAAACAAUAUAGUGUGGCAUGAAACCCUUGAUAAGCAGGUGGGUGUGAAGGAUUUUUCGGUCAGAGUAAGACUUCAUAUUCCCACAUAUAGGGCAUGGACAACACAUAAAACCAUUCUGCUUGUUUUCCUCAGUCACUUCGAGAAAAUUAUGCACGCCCUUAAUGUACUCGGAGGUGUGUCUGUGACCGUACAUUCAUUGCAUGUUCAUCUGCGUGCAUUAUAUAUAAUUAAGUGUGUCAAAAACCAUUACAGAAUAUCAUGAAUACAGAAGUGACCAAAUUAAUAGAAGUUCAUCAUCACAUUAAAACGAAAGUACAGUAGUGAUCAAAUGUUAUUACUGAAAAAUUAAUACAUAAAGUUCAUACAUAUAUAGUUCUCAUUGAACAACAUAUAUAUAGCUCUCUAGAGCAUCUAAUUAAACCAUACAUUGAAACUAUGUAAAACAUUUCAAUGCAACAACAAAUGCGAUAAUAAUCGCAACUAAGGUAGAAAUUGAUCCAACGGCAUAAUAAUACCAAGCCUCGGUAUGAAUGGCAUAUUUUCUAAUCUUUCUAAUCUUCAAGCGCAUUGCAUCCAUCUUGAUCUUGUGAUCAUCGACGACAUUCGCAACAUGCAACUCCAAUCUCAUCUUCUCCUCCUCAAUUCUUUUUAAUUUUUUAUUCAGGUAAUUGUUUUUUUCUUCAACUAAAUUUAACCUCUCGACAAUAGGGUCGGUCGGAAUUUCCGGUUCACAUACCUCCUAGAUAAAAACAUCUAUGUCACGUUGGUCGACAUAAUUGUCAUAAACACUAAAUGAACCAAAUAGUUAUAAAAUAUAAUAUAUACCACAUCUGAUCAUAGACAGGACGAGGGCCGACGGAGGUGGAUACCAAAACCAUCGCACUAUAUAAUAACAAACAAUAAUAAAAGUAAGAAAAUUAUGCAAGUAUCUAUCUAAAUCAUACAAGUAAGAACUUUUUUUAUUUUAGAAAGAAGAUAAGAACAAGAGGCUCACCACGGUGGUGCCGGCGACGAGAUCAGCGCGGGCGAUCGACGGCGGUGAGGACGGGGACGGGACAGGACGGACCGCCAAACCUAGACAAAUCUUGAGAAAAAUUGGAGUUUGGACAAGGAGCUUUGAGAGGAGAAAGCUUAAGUGUGGCUCGGACAUUUCAUCGAACACCUCAUGUGCAUAGGAGGUGAGCUAGAGCACCACAAAGCUCUCCCACGACCGGCCAAAAAAACAGAGCAGUGCACUGCUCUGCUCGCGGGCAGGGGGUAUAUAUAGGUCACUCUUUAGCCCCGGUUCGUGGCUAAAACCGGGACUAAAGGAACACAUUUGGUCCCGGUUCCAGACAUGAACCGGGACCAAUGGGCCUCGCUCCUGGCCCAACAACCUUUAAUCCCGGUUCGUGGCUGGAACCGGGACCAAGGCCCCCGAGGCCCGGCCGGCGCCCUGGCCUCACGAACCGGGACUGAUGCCCCCAUUGGUCCUGGUUCGUAGGGGAACCGGGAUUAAUGCCCUUUUCAGGCCUGGACCAUAGCCAUGUUUUCUACUAGUGCUUAGCUUUCGAGUUGCCUUAAGAACAUGUCUGGGAACCCAGUGAAUAUGUGCACCGGAUGUGACCAUGCUUCUCCAAUUGUUGGAUGGAGAAGUGAUGGCCAUGAUCUGUUGACUCUUGCCAUAUUAAACACAUUGUAUUUCCUUAAAAUCAACCUUUGGUAUUUUUGCUAUGAAACCAAGUUUUGAUACAAAACUAAGUUUCAUGAAGUCUUGGAUAUGGAAGUAAGUUUCAUCAACUUUUUAGAUGUGAAACAUGAUGAAACUUGUGUAUGGAUUAUCAAGUUUUAGAUGAGAUAACUUGUUGGGUUGAUUUUCUGAGUUGAGAUGGAUUGCAGGUUGAUAUUGGUAAAAAAAUAUAAGGUUAUAUUUCCUAAAAAUAGCAGCAACCAAAACCCCAAAGAGCUGGGGUGCACAAUGAUUUUGAUAAAAUACAAGGUUAUUUAUGUAAAUAAGCAGCCACCCAACUUGCGUUGAAUCUUGCUCGUCGCUUUUUCAUCCAAUGGCCUACUAAAAACCAUAGGCACGGUGCACUGGAUACAUUCUCCUGAUGAUUUUAUAUCCAAGCCCAAUCAAACAUAGUCAUACUCGGCGUCUUAAAGUGGUGAUUGGUAAGCUAAUGACACGACAAUGAUGUAAAUCCAUGCACAUUCUACAUGAACACCAUGAAUCAUUCUUUCUCGGUAACUCCAAUAAGUGGGUUUUCAAGAAAUGUGUAACCGAAUGUCAUGUGUAAAUUUCAACAUUGACGUAAUCUGCAUCGUCCCACCAUCGACCUUGUCGUCUCGGACCCGUGUCCUCAAAUUUGAUUCCGGAAAUCUUUUUAGCGUAUGUAAAUUGCCGAAACGGUUUCCAGUUCCGUGGAUCAAACCAAAAUUUGUGCCGACUAAAUCGAAUCACGUGUCAACAAAAGUUUAACGAAGGUUUGAGUGAAUCUUGUCUGAAACGUGGCCGAGCUUAUGUUUCGGCCGAACAUGUUGGCACCCACGCACAUGUCUGAUGUGUGUACGCCCUGGUCGAGACAAAGAGGAGUCCCGGCAAGUUGUACCACGCCACAGACGUACGCCGGGGCCACGUCGCUUUUUACGUUGGCCGUUCGCUGUCACGGGGCGAUCAGGCAGAUCACCAGCCGUUAAAAUUUCUCGUCAGAGCAAGCGAUCGAGCCGGCCGCCGUUAUAUACCACGCGCCCCAGAGCCUUCCCUUGAGCACACUGCACUCCGCAGCCCGCACCACACCAACCAGCAGCACUGCUCUCCUAGCUAGUGCCGGCCACUCGAGCGAGCAAAGCCGCUGCUUCUGUCGGCGGCAGGUAGGUGGCGCCGUGCGUGCGUGAGCUGGUCGGCCGGCGAGGAUGAUGAGGACGGUGGCGGCGGUGGCGGUGGCCGUGCUGCUGGCGGCGGCGGUGGCGGCGGAGGCGAGCGAGCUCAAGGUGGGGUACUACGACAAGAGCUGCCGGGGCGUGGAGAACGUGGUGAAGUGGCACGUCGCCAGGGCCAUCAAGGCCAACCGCAAGAGCGGCGCCGCCCUCGUCCGCCUCAUCUUCCACGACUGCUUCGUCAGGGUACGUACGCCGCCCGCCGUCGUCUCUCUCUCUGUCACUCCGGCCGGCGCGCCACUACUCUGCUCUUUAACCACACGCCCGGCCACUGCUGUCGAGCUAGCAAAAGUACCUCUGCAACGUCCUCCAGAACAGUAGCUCUGGUUAGCUAGCUAGUAAGAGCAGUUUGUCCAUGUCUGCUGCAUUUUCUACUUUACAUGAUGCAUGCACAGUGACUUAGCUCGUGAUCCACAAUGUCGCAGCACAUUCGUACACGAUGCACACACCGAUGUUUUGCUCGUCGAGACCGUGACACUAGACCCCACGUGGCACCGAGCGUGCUACUCCCUCUGUCCCGAAAUAUAUGUCGCUGGACAUAUAUUUUGGGACAAAGGGAGUAGAUACCAACUUUUAUUUUCUGUUUGUUAACAAGAUACUCUUGUACCGUUUUGCAUGCGUUGAGCUAACCAGCUCACCAACAAGUUUAACUAGUCAUAGAUCACCCCCGGAAGGACGACAGCUCAAAUUAUAGAUGAAAAUGCUUGCGAUGUACUCCCUCCGUCCACAAAUGCAAGACCAUUUUAACACUACGAUAGUAUCAAAAAUGGCCUUACAUUUUGGGACGAAGGGGGUACAAUUGGAUUCGAAACUAGAAUGUAUAUAUAUUCUGAAACAGCCAAUCAGUGAAAUGGUUAUUAGUUAAGGACGGAGUUAUCUCGACAGUUAGGAACCAGCAUAAGUUUCAAAGUAGUCCCAGAUGUUAGGCUAGCGGAGUAGUUGGUUUGUGCGUCAUUGUCAUCGCCCGGAUGUGAAUCAUGGAAGCACGUCACUCCUAGUAGCCACUAUACUUAACUUGAAAACAGUUGAACGGCUAGCUAGCUUCCGUGCGCUAGCUGCUCACCAGACAGCAUGGCGAGCACAAAGCUUGCACAGCUAGCCCAGCUGAUGCCGAGGAUAACACUUGCGCAGCCGAACCGAUGCCGCCGGAAUGCGAUGCUUUCCUUGGACAUGUAGACAUCUAAUCGUUUCGAGCUAUCUAGGCCGCUCGCCUUUCACUUUGCUAGGACCCGGCAUCACUGUGCUGCCCAUUGUCAUUAUCUUUGGCUCUCUUCCUCUGCUUUUUUUCUUCUCUUUUCUGCUUUUCUUCCGUGUGCCCGGUGUCGUUGCCUUUUGUCAUUUCUCUGCUUUUAAUUCCCCAUGUGCCUGAUGAUGAUACGCGCGAUAAGAGGCUAUAUUGACAAUCCGCGGUUAUGCGUUGUCAUCAUAGUAGUCAUUUAGAUUUUUCUUCGAAACUUUGUGAAUGAUUGGAUUACUUUGGACGAUAAAUUCUAAGGAUCCGCGGUUAGGCAUCGUGUCCAUAGCUAUCCAGCAUGUGGAAUUUUCUUGGUAAGAGUCAUGUUGUGCUUUCCAUUCCCCUAAGUAGGCAGGCAGCCAGGCACCCCUAUUAAGAGGAGUGUACAAUGCGAGUACAAUACUCGACAACAAAAGGGCGGUUUUUAGUUUUUGUUUGGCAACCUAGAAUAGAUAAGGUCCUUACUUGUAGCAUCCAUACUUGACUACUAGAUGCCGGUACUUGAUGGGUGUUUCUCUUCUCAAUAUACAACUAGCUCUAAAAAGGUAGGUAUAAAGUAGGUAAAGCGUGGAUGAUGAUUGUGAUAUACUUUGUAAUAUACUGUCUUUGAGCAUCAACUAGUGUAAACAAAUCUUGCAUUGUGUAUAUUCUAUAACCAGGAUAGGAAUGUAGUAGUACUAGACUUGGUUAGCUUUUCCCUUGUUCUUUUGCCAUCCAAAGAAAACAAAGAAGAAAGGCAAGCUAUACACUGUAAAGAGAAAGAGAAAGCGCACCUAUAUCAAAGAUCAAUAAAUCAAAGAUCAAUAAUUGGUUGCACCAGUGCUCAAUCCAUCCUCCCAAGUUCAAAUGAUCUGUUGAAAACCUCCUACUGGUACUAUUUGUAUUUAAGAGUAAUUAAUAGGUAAUGGAUUAUAGGUGGAAAACAUUAAACAUGAGUGCCCUUUUCAUCUGAAAAUGAAGGUGCAUACAAGUCUUCCCGAGAUGGUCCAGCUAUCAGUACGUAACUAAUUAGACUAAUCGAUAAUUAUUGCCCAAUAAUGCACAUUGCCGACAUUACAUUCGGAGUAGUACAUGUCUGUCCAACAACUAAAAGGUAAUCAGCACAUUUCAGAUCCGGAUCGUGCUAUAAUAAUGCUUUGCAAGUACCGACGAAAUGACUUCCCAUGCACACUUCAGCUGUGUGAUUGGUUAAAAUGCUUGGUUUGUCCCAUCAAAGCUAACGACUUGUGCUAGUAACGACCAUGCUUAGUUAGUUCAUGCUUGAUUAUGUGCUACUCAAUCUGUUGGAGUACGAUCAACUGGAUAACUGACGGACGGAGCGUACAUACGUGCAGGGCUGUGACGCGUCGGUGCUGCUGGACCCGACGCCGGAGAACCCGCACACGGAGAAGACGGCGCCGAUCAACAUCGGCCUGGCCGCCUUCGACCUGCUCGACGACAUCAAGGCGGCGGUGGAGGACCGGUGCCCCGGCGUCGUCUCCUGCGCGGACAUCCUCAUCUUCGCCGCCCGCGACGCCGCCAGCCUGCUGAGCAACGGCCACGUCCACUUCGACGCCCUGGCGGGGCGCCUGGACGGCGUGCACUCCCACGCGGCGGAGGCGCAGCAGGACCUCCCGGACUCCACCUUCACCAUCGCCGAGCUCAUCCAGAACUUCAAGCGCAAGAACUUCACCAUCGAGGAGCUGGUGAUCCUGUCCGGCGCGCACGCCGUGGGCGUGGGCCACUGCUCGUCGCUCCGCGCCCGGCUCACGGCGCCCGCCGACCAGAUCCUCCCGGCCUACCGGGGCCUCCUCGCCGGGAAGUGCGCCAAGGGCCCGGACCCCAUCGUGCCCAACAACAUCAGGGACGAGGACGCCGGCGCGGUGGCGGCCACCAUCCCGGGGUUCCUCCCGAAGCUGAGGAAGGUCAAGGACUUCCUGGACAACAGCUACUACCACAACAACCUGGCGAGGAUCGUCACCUUCAACUCCGACUGGCAGCUGCUGACGGAGAAGGAGGCGCGGGGCCACGUGCACGAGUACGCCGACAACGGCACGCUGUGGGACGAGGACUUCUCCGACUCGCUCGUCAAGCUCAGCAAGCUGCCCAUGCCGCACGGCAGCAAGGGCGAGAUCAGGAAGAUGUGCCGCUUCGUCAACCACCACUAAGCUUUCCAACUCUCCAAGUUCCUAUCGCUAACGUUUUUCAUGUGUUAAAUUUGCAUCUAUCGAUCGCCUUUGAUUAUUCGUUUGUUGUUAUGUUUUAUUUUCAUUUCUUUUCUUCUUUUAUUUGUGGGAUUGAUUUGUGGACAAAUGUGCGCAUGCGCCUGCGUGCGAUCUGUGUAGAUUUUUUUUUCCUGUCAAGUGUUGUGCCCUUUGGCUGGCUUGGAUACCAUCCAUCAAGGCAUCCAAUGCUCAUGUAAUAAUAAGGGUAAAAGAUGAUGAUGAAGUAAAUUGCGUAGUA